rnacentral:lncRNA from 1 species
GCUGUGAAUCCUGUUCCGCGACUGCGAUACAGCUGAAUUCUGAUCUCCUGCCACCCGGAGCAAAUCCCUGAUCUGCAUCAAGCCUCUGCCAGCCUCUAACUGGGAAGGCUGAAUUGACUCUGCUAUACGGGUUGCAGCUGCUAAAUUCUGAAUUGGAGUCCGAUAUACCUGAGUUGGAGGUUUGAAGAGUUGGCGUCGACUGGAGUCUAGAAUCCUUUGCCACGCGCGCUCAUCGAGUUCCCGCUGAAGGUUCUCCAGUCGAGUGCGCUCAGCCAGGUUGGCCAAGCGCGCGUCCUCUAUGGCGCGAGCCUCAGGGGUUUCUCCAACGAUCGGAGUGUGAAGCGCAUCCAUAUUCCAGCGGCGAAGCUCUUCCCUCUGCUGCGAAUUGAGGGGCUUGGGGAGGUAUUCCUCAUGGUCAUGCCACGGAUCGCCUCCGCAGUUGCCUCCCUCGGUGCCAAGAAAUCUGGGGGGAACAUGCGGUCCGUUGACAAUCAGGACGUCCGCCGCUGGAUAACUGCUGUCGCACUGGGAUGCAGUCUCUGCGGAGCCAGUCGAACAGGCCGUAGAGAGAUUCGUCGGGCUCGAUUGCCGUGACUUGAGCGGUGGUCAACUGGCGAGCCACUGCAUUCCUCACCCACCGCUGAAGCCUCGACCGACCGGAGCGCUUACGCCGGCGGGAAGCUGGGAGGGAGGAUGACACAAAAACCGGCCGAUACUGAGUCAAUGGUUGCCGCAGAAGGACGCCGCAGAUGCAUGCUCGAAAGUGCGUAGCUCCGCGGACCAGGAGCGCAUCCACGUCGAGCGGAGCCUCCUACAGCCAGGCAGAGUCGUCGGCGACGAACGUGAGCGCGCCGAGACGGAUCUCGCGGCCCUCAACCAAAACUCCACCUGAAACCAUGAUGAUGGGAAUCAGAAAAAUUGCAAAUUCUCCAAUAAGUCGCUAAGACACCUUCCCCAAGGUGGGCGCCAACUGUCGUGGCUCUAAGUCUGACAGUAGUGUAGGGGGUUGUAGGGGGGUACUAAGGAGAGGCAAGAUCCUAGCUAUGGAGUAGUUGUGCACACAAGUGUUUUACGAGUUCAGGCCCUUCUUGGAAGAAGUAACAGCCCUACGUCUCGGAGCCCGGAGGCGGUCGACUGGAUUAUAUGUGUGAGAGUUACAGGGGUGCCAACCCUUCUACCAGUGGAGGGGGGUGGCUUAUAUAGAGGAUGCCAUGACCCCAGCCAGUCCACGUAGCGGAGGAUUAAAGUACAUUAAGGUCCGGCGUUACUGGUAACGCCUUACAUAAAGUGUCAUCAUGACCAUAAAGACUACUUAAUUACAGAUCGUUUGGAUUCAGAGUAGAUCUUGAACUCCUGGUGGUCGAGUGAGUCUUCAUGGUCGAGUGUCUUCAGGUUCGUCGAGUGUCUUCUAGUCCGUCGAGUGGAGUCCCUCUUGGUCGACUGGAAGACGGCUUCUUCUAAAAGAUGUCCUCGGGGAGGGUACCUUGGACAGGUCCAUGACCCUACCCUAGGUACAUGACUUCAUCAGGCGCGCCCCUGACCCUCGUGGCCACCCCGUAAGGAGGUUGGUGCCCUUCUUUCGCCACAAGAAAGCUAAUAUCCGGAUAGAAAUCGUGUCCAAAGCACAACCCAAUCGGAGUUAUGGAUCUCCGGGAAUAUAAAAAACGGUGAAAGGGCAGAAUCGGGAACGCAGAAACAGAGAGAGACGGAGAGACAGAUCCAAUCUCGGAGGGGCUCUCGCCCCUCCCACGCCAUGGAGACCACGGACCAGAGGGGAAACCCUUCUCCCACCAAGGGAUAAGGUCAAGGAAGAAGAAGAAGAAGAAGAAGGGGGGAUCUCUCCCCCUCGCUUCCGGUGGCGCCGGAACGCCGCCGGGGGCCAUCAUCAUCACCGCGAUCUACACCAACACCGCCGUCAUCUUCACCAACAUCUCCAUCACCUUCCCCCUUCUAUAUUCAGCAGUCCACUCUCCCGCAACCCGCUGUACCCUCUACUUGAACAUGGUUCUUUAUGAUUCAUAUUAUUAUCCAAUGAUGUGUUGCCAUCCUAUGAUGUUUGAGUAGAUUUUUUUUGUCCUACCGUUGAUUGAUGAAUUGCUAUGUUUGGUUUAAUUUGCUUGUGGUUAUGUUGCUGUCCUAUUGUGCCCUCCAUGUAGCGCAAGCGUGAGGGAUUCCCUCUGUAGGGUCUGCAAUACAUUCAUGAUUCGCUUAUAGUGGGUUGCUUGAGUGACAGAAGCAUAAACCGGUGUAAGGGGGUUGCGGCAUAUGGGAUAAAGGGGACUUGAUGCUUUAAUGCUAUGGUUGGGUUUACCUUAAUGAUCUUUAGUAGUUGCGGAUGCUUGCUAGAGUUCCAAUCAUAAGUGCAUACGAUCCAAGAAGAGAAAGUAUGUUAGCUUAUGCCUCUCCCACAUAAAACUUGCUAUCGGUCUAGUAAAGUAGUCAAUUGCUUAGGGACAAUUUCACAACUCCUACCACCACUUUUCCACACUCGCUAUACUAAAUUUAUUACUUAUUUAUCUAAACAGCCCCUACUUUUUAUUUACGUGCUCUUUAUUAUCUUGCAAUUCUAUCCAACAACACCUACAAAGUACUUCUAUUUUCAUACUUGUUAUAGGUAAAGCGAACGUGAAGCGUGCGUAGAGUUGUAUCGGUGGUCGAUAGAACUUGAGAGAAUAUUUGUUCUACCUUUAGCUCCUCGUUGGGUUCGACACUCAUACUUAUCGAAAGAGGCUACAAUUGAUCCCCUAUACUUGUGGGUUAUCAUGGAUUGACACCAAGCUCUGGCCUUGAGCGGAGUUCCAGAACGAUCUCGAGUCUCUGAUAACUCGAAUCAAAGAAAUUCCCGGUCAAGUGCAAGAGUGGAAAAAGUCGUUUGCUCGCUGCGGUGCUGAUGUGGCUCUGUCCUUGGUCCGAGUCCAUUUUAAGGAAGUCGGAGAAGACAAGCUGGCGGCUAUCAAGGUUGCCAACACCAAGAAGCUCCAAUUCCAGUCCUUCAUGGAGACCUUCAUCGACGCUGCCACUCGCAUUGCAGACGACAUUGACCUUGACAGCUUCAUCGAGCCAGCAAGCCCUCCUCCCGAAGAGUGAACAAACUUUAUGCCUCACCUUAUUUGCCUCGGAAUGUCGAGUGAUUUUGUAACCAUUAAACUCUUUCAGGCCUGAUGCCUGAGUACUUCUGCCUGCGGUUCUGAACUUUGUGGGGUUUAUCUGAACUUGGUUUUUCUUGAAUAUGGUGUAUUUUCCUUUACCGUUUUCAAAUCUUUUUUAAUUCCUAGUGGAACUUGACUUCCCACUCGGAAUAGAUGUUGUACUUGUGAUGCAUCUCUAACGAUGUGUUCGAUCGGCACCUCGUCGUCCUUGCGGAUCGGGAUGGAAUGUACAUUGUACAUACAAUUCAGCUCCGAUGACGUGCUCGAUUGGCACCUUGUCGUCCUUGCGGAUCGGGAUGGAGCAUACGUUGUACAUGUGACGCAGCUCAAAGGAUCUUUGUGACUUAGGCGAGUAAGGGUCACUGCUAAGCCCCUGAGUGGGAGGAAUGCUCUCCACUCGGAGUAGUUUUUUAACUUAGGCGAGUACGGGUCGCAGCUAAGCCCCCGAGUGGGAGGAUUGCUCUCCACUCGGAGUAGUUUUUAACUUAGGCGAGUACGGGAUCGUAUCUAAGCCCCUAAGUGGGAGGAUUGCUCUCCACUCGGAGUAGUUUUUAACUUAGGCGAGUAUGGGAUCGCAGCUAAGCCCCCGAGUGGGAGGAUUGCUCUCCACUCGGAGUAGUUUUUAACUUAGGCGAGUACAGGGUCGCAGCUAAGCCCCUAAGUGGGAGGAUUGCUCUCCACUCGGAGUAGUUUUUAACUUAGGUGAGUAGGGGAUCGCAGCUAAGCCCCCGAGUGGGAGGAUUGCUCUCCCCUCGGAGUAGUUUUUAACUUAGGCGAGUACGGGAUCGCAGCUAAGCCCCCGAGUGGGAGGAUUGCUCUCCACUCGGAAAGGUUUUGAAACUUAGGCAAAUCAGGUUCGCAGCUAAGCCACCCACUAGGGGAUUUUGAACACAUGUGUUUAUGGGAAAACAAUCAUUAAGAUACUGCAAAAAUCUUGUCUUUGAUAAGCCAACUGAAAAACUCUUAAUACAACUCGUCGAUCCGAGUGGUUUAGGUAUAGAAAUGGCGAAGCAGCUCUGCAUUCCAUGCGCAUGGCUCGUCCACUUUCUUGGCUACGUCGUAGAGGUGACAUGCUCCGUUGUGGAGCACCUUGGUGAUGAUGAAGGGCCCUUCCCAGGCCGGAGCAAGCUUGUGAGGCCGUUUCUGAUCCACUUGGAGCACAAGGUCCCUUUCCUGGAAUGCUCGACCUCUGACAUUACGGGCAUGGAAUCGGCGCAGAUCUUGUUGGUAGAUGGUCAAUCGGAUCAGAGCCAUCUAACGCAACUCCUCCAGGAGAUCAACUGCGUCCUGGCGAGCCUGUUCUGCUUCAUCUUCUGAGAAGAUUUCCACUCGGGGAGCAUUGUGCAGGAAGUCACUUGGAAGCACAGCUUCAGCACCAUACACCAUGAAGAAAGGGGUUCAGUCAGUCGACCGUUUCGGAGUUGUUCUCAGUCCCCAUGAGACGGAUGGCAACUCGGUCACCCAAGCUCUUGCAGCAUGCUUGAGGUCGUACAUCAAUUGGGGUUUCGGUCCUUGAAGGAUCAAACCAUUCGCCCUUUCUGCUUGCCCAUUUGACUGUGGGUGCGCAACGGAUGCGUAGUCGACCCGAGUGCCUUGGGAAGCACAGAAUGCCUUGAACUCAUCAGAAUCAAAGUUGGAGCCGUUAUCUGUGAUAAUGUUGUGAGGGACUCCAUAUCUGAAUAUCAACUCCCUGAUGAAACUGACGACAAUGCUUGAGUCAAGGUUUUUGAUAGGCUUAGCUUAGAUCCAUUUGGUGAACUUGUCGACAGCUACGAGCAAAUGAGUGAAGCCACUUCUGCCGGUCCUGAAGGGUCCAACCAUAUCUAACCCCCAGACUACAAACGGCCAGACGAGUGGAAUAGUCUUCAAGGCAGAUGCAGGCUUGUGAGACAUGUUGGAGUAGAACUGACAACCUGCGCACUUGUCGACUAUAUCCUUUGGCAUCUUGCACGCGACCAAUAGAAUCCCGCUCGGUAUGCUUUGUCCAUGAUGGUCCGAGAGGACGCAUGGUGACCAUAGGUCCCCGAGUGGAUCUCGUUUAAAAUCAUUCAACCUUCUUCUAGGGUGAUGCAGCGUUGAGCCACUCCUGCGACACUUUCUCUGUAAAGCUGCCCUUUUAUCACGAUGAAAGCCUUCGAUCGACGUACGAUCUGGCGGGCCUCAACCUCAUCUUCUGUAAGUUCCUGCCUGCGCAGGUACGCGAUGUAUGGCACCGUCCAGUCGGGUGUGAUCACUAAGACUUCCAUGACCAAGUUGACCACAACUGGGACUUCAAUCUCAGUUGGAUUGGUUGAACUUAUCAGUUGUGGGGGCUCCUCCUUGAAGGGAUCUUCUUGUACUGACAGGGUGUGGAGAUGUUCCAAGAACACAUUACUGGGAAUAGGCUUCUGAGUGGAACCUAUCUUCGCCAGAUCAUCAGCAGCUUGAUUCUUGAUUCGGGUUAUGUGGUGGAGCUCUAACCCCUCAAGCUUCUUCUCUAGUUUUCUUACUGCAUUGCAAUAACUGGUCAUUGCUGGACUCCUGAUGUCCCAUUCCUUCAUUACUUGAUUAACCACUAAGUCUGAGUCGAUGUAGACCAUCAAGUGUCGGACGCCGAGUGAAAUGGCCAUACGCAACCCAUACAACAGUGCCUCAUACUCAGCUUCAUUGUUUGAAGAAUCAAAGUGAACUGGAGGACAUAUAUGAGCUUGUCUCCUCUUGGGGAUACUAAAACCACUCCUGCACCAGAGCCAUUCAACAUCUUGGAUCCAUCAAAGAACAUAGUCCAAUGUUCCAAUUGAAUCUAAGUCGGUUGCUGUUGUUCAAUCCACUCUAUGAGGAAAUUUGUUAUUGCUUGAGACUUGAUGGCUUUCUUUUCCUCAAACUUGAUAUCCAAAGGAAGGAAUUCAAUCGCCCACUUUGCCACUCGACCCGUUGCAUCUCUAUUAUUCAGAAUUUCUGACAAUGGAGCGUCGCUGACGACUGAAACUGAGUGGUCUGAGAAGUAGUGUGCAACUUUUUUCAUAGUCAAGUAAAUUCCAUAAACAAGCUUAUGAUAAUGAGGAUAUCUCUACUUGGACGGAGUCAAGACUUCCGAAAUGUAAUACACAGGGCGCUGAACUUUGAAGGCUUUGCCUUCUUCUUCCCGCUCGACUAUGAGCACUGUGCUGACAACAUGUACAGUGGCUGCGAUGUAAAGCAGUAAAGGCUCCUUGCUGACAGGAGCGGCAAGUACCGACUAGGUGGAAAGCAUGGCUUUGAGCUCUUCAAAUGUUGCUUCGCCUUCGUCAUUCCACUCGAACUUGUUAGACUUCUUCAUCAAUCGGUAAAGAGGUAAUGCCUUUUCACCGAGGCAUGAGAUGAAUCGACUCAGCCAAAAAAAUAGUAAGCUUCUAAACAUCAUGCACACGCACAGGGCAUUUCAUUCGGAGGAUUGUGCCAAUCUUCUCAGGGUUUGCAUCGAUCCCCCAUUCGGAAACGAGGAAACCGAGUAGCUUUCCACCUGGGACUCCGAAUGUGCACUUUGAUGGAUUAAAAUUGAUAUCGUAUCUUCUUAAGUUGGCAAAGGUUUCAGCGAGGUCAAUCAGUAGGUCGGAACCUUUGCGUGACUUGACCACUAUCUCAUCCAUGUAUGCUUCCACAUUCCGACUGAUUUGAGUGAACAGGAACUUCUGAAUCAUGCGCAUGAAUGUGGCACCAACAUUCUUGAGGCCAAAGGGCAUAGUAACAUAGCAAAAACAUCUGAAUGGGGAGAUGAAAGUUUUCUUUAUCUCGUCGGGUCCUUACAGACGGAUCUGAUGGUACCCGGAAUAAGCAUCCAAAAAGGACAAUCGCUCACAUCCCAUAGUUGAGUCGACUAUCUGGUCGAUGCGAGGCAGAGGAAAAUGAUCUUUCGGGCAGGCCCGAUUGAUAUGCUUGAAAUCAAUACACAUUCAAAGUGACUUGUCUUUAUUGGGGACCAUGACAACAUUGGCGAGCCACUCGGAGUGGUAUAUCUCACGGAUGAACUCAGCAGCCAGAAGUCGAGCCACCUCCUUGCCAAUGGCCUUCCUCUUCUCUGCGGUGGACCGACGGAGAUGCUCUUUAACGGGUUUUGCUUUCGGGUCGACUCGCAAACGGUGCUCAGCCAGUCCCCUGGGUACACCUGGCAUGUCAGAUGGCUUCCAUGCAAAGAUGUCCUAGUUCUCACGGAGGAACUGGAUGAACGCUUCUUCCUAUUUGUUGUCGAGUGUUGUUGAGAUAUGAGUCGGAGGAGCAUUGGGAUUGGUAGGGUGAAUGUGAACCAGCUUUGUUUCGCUGGCCGGCUGAAAUGCGGACUCCGAGGCAGGCCUCUUGGCACGCAACAAAUCACUCGGAUCUGCAUUCUUCUGGUAAUCCUGAAACUCUACGGCUGCCAUCUGUUCAUCGGUGAUCUUUGAACCUUUAUAGAGACAAUCUUCUGCUCUCUGCCGAUUUCCAGUGACUGUGAUCACACUUUCGGGGCCAGGCGUCUUCAACUUAAGGUACACAUAACACGGUCGAGCCAUGAAACUACCAUAAGCAUGUCUGCCUAGAAUGGCAUGAUAGGCACUGUCAAAAUCCACUACCUCAAACGUCAACUUUUCCUUGCGGUAAUUCUUGGAAUCACCGAAAACCAAAUCAAGAGUGACCUGACCGAGUGAAUUGGCUUUUUUUCCUGGGAUGAUACCACGGAAUCUCAUGUUGCUCUCACUGAGCUUGGACAUUGGAAUGCCCAUCCCUCGGAGGGCCUCAGCAUACAAUAUAUUCAAUCCACUUCCACCGUCCAUCAAAACCUUGGUCAGUCGGGUGCCCCCAACGACUAGGUCGACCACCAACGCUUGCCGCCCAGGGGUAGCAACGUGUGGCGGGUGGUCGUACUAGUCGAAUGUAAUAGGGGUUUUUGACCACUUCAAAUAUCUUGGCAUUUCCAGAGAAACCAUGUUCACCUCUCUGUUAAUAGAUUUCAGUCGACUUUUCCUCUCGAGGUCAGCAAAAAUCACCAGGGUGGCAUUAACAUUAGGGUAACCACCAUCUUCCUCUUUGUAUUCCUCCUUAUCAGACUCUUUGUCCUUUUCACUGGGCUAGAUCUCUCGGAAACUCUGAAGCAGGAGUCGUCACUGUCGAGUGGUAUGCUUGGGAAGAAUCAGAUUCCCCUCUUCAUCCUUUUUGGUGUGUAUAUGACACGGUAAAUCAAGCACAUCAUUUCUUGCUUGAUCUUUCACUUUUUAGGGGUCCAAGGCCCUUUAGGCUUCCUUUUGAACUUCCCUUGAUUCAAAAAUGCUGCCUCGGCACAGCCUGCAGCCUCAGCUUUUUGUUUCUGCUUCCGACCGGAGUUUCCUCCUCUGGUGUCCUGGGCGACUAGUCUGUUCUUGCCGCUCCGGAGUCGUCUUCUUCUUUGCCGUUAGCAUACCGAGUGGCAAUCUCCAUCAUCCGAGUCAGAGUCAUGUCUCCGGUUCGACCGAACUUCAGAUUGAGCUCUCUGUAGCGAACGCCUUCUUUAAAGGCACAAACUGCAUGGUGAUCCGACACAUUCUCCACCAUGUGAUGAAGAGUAGUCCAUCUCUAGAUAUAGUCUCUCAAAGUCUCAUUCUAUUUCUGAACACAGUGCUGCAAUUCUGUCAAACCAGCAGGCCGCUUGCAAGUGCCCUCAAAUGUUUUGGUAAACACUCAGGCUAAUUCUUCCCAAUUGAAAAUUCUCCCAGGGGCCAACUGAUUCAGCCAGGCUCUGGCAGAACCUUCAAGCAUCAAAGGGAGGUGCUUCAUGGCCACCUCGUCGUUGUCGCCGCCAAUAUGCACAGUCACUCGGUAAUCUUCCUGAAGGAAAUAUGCCCUAGAGGCAAUAAUAAAGUUAUUAUUUAUUUCCUUAUAUCAUGAUAAAUGUUUAUUAUUCAUGCUAGAAUUAUAUAACCGGAAACAUUAUACAUGUGUGAAUACAUAGACAAACUGAGUGUCACUAGUAUGCCUCUACUUGAUUAGCUCAUUAAUCAAAGAUGGUUAUGUUUCCUAGCCAUGGACAAAGAGUUGUCAUUUGAUUAACGGGGUCAUAUCAUUAGGAGAAUGAUGUGAUUGACUUGACCCAUUCCGUUAGCUUAGCACUUGAUCGUUUAGUAUGUUGCUAUUGCUUUCUUCAUGACUUAUACAUGUUCCUAUGACUAUGAGAUUAUGCAACUCCCGUUUACCGGAGGAACACUUUGUGUGCUACCAAACGUCACAAUGUAACUGGGUGAUUAUAAAGGUGCUCUACAGGUGUCUCCGAAGGUACUUGUUGGGUUGGCGUAUUUCGAGAUUAGGAUUUGUCACCCCGAUUGUCAGAGAGGUAUCUCUGGGCCCUCUUGGUAAUGCACAUCACUAUAAGCCUUGCAAGCAAUGUAACUAAUGAGUUAGUUGUGGGAUGAUGCAUUACAUAAGGAGUAAAGAGACUUGCCGGUAAUGAGAUUGAACUAGGUAUUGAGAUAUCGACGAUCGAAUCUCGGGCAAGUAACAUACCUAUGACAAAGUGAACAAUGUAUGUUGUUAUGCGGUUUGACCGAUAAAGAUCUUCGUAGAAUAUGUAGGAGCCAAUAUGAGCAUCCAGGUUCCGCUAUUGGUUAUUGACCGGAGAUGAGUCUCGGUCAUGUCUACAUAGUUCUCGAACCCGUAGGGUCCGCACACUUAACGUUCUUUGAUGAUUUAUAUUAUGAGUUAUGUGUUUUGAUGUACCAAAGGCACUUCGAAGUCCCGGAUGAGAUCGGGGACAUGAUGAGGAGUCUCGAAAUGGUCGAGGCGUAAAGAUCGAUAUAUUGGACGACUAUAUUCGGACAUCGGAAAGGUUCUGAAUGAUUCAGGUAUUUAUUGGAGUACUAGAGAGUUACGGGAAUUCGCCGGAGAGAAGUAUUGGGCCUUAUUGGGCCAUACGGGAAAGAGAGAGGGGUUGCCUAGGUCAGGCCGCGCCCCCCCCCCCCAAGGCCUAGUCCGAAUUGGACUAGGGGGAGGGGUUGUGCCCCCUCCUUCCUUCCCUUCUUUCUUCCCUUUCCUUGACUCCUACUCCUACUACAUGGAAGGGGGGAUUCCUACUCCCGGUGGGAGUAGGACUCCCCACGGUGCGCCAUAGAGAGGGUCGGCCCCUCCCCUCCUCUCCUCCUUUAUAUACUGAGGCAAGGGGCACCCUAUAGACAUAACAAUUGAUCCUUGAGAUCUAUUAUCCGUGUGCGGUGCCCCCCUCCACCAUAUUCCACCUCGAUAAUUACGUAGCGGUGCUUAGGCGAAGCCAUGCGCCGGUAGAACAUCAUCAUCGUCACCACGCCAUCGUGCUGACGAAACUCUCCCUCGAAGCUUGGCUGGAUCGGAGUUCGAGGGGCGUCAUCGAGCUGAACGUGUGCUAAACUCAGAGGUGACGUGUGUUCGGUACUUGAUCGGUUGGAUCGUGAAGACGUAUGACUACAUCAACCGUGUUGUGCUAACGCUUCCGCUUACGGUCUAUGAGGGUACAUGGACAUACUCUCCCCUCUCGUUGCUAUGCAUCACCAUGAUCUUGCGUGUACGUAAGAAAAUAUUUGAGAUUACUACGUUCCCCAACAGUGGUAUCAGAGCCUGGUUUUAUGCCUAGAUGUUAUAUGCAUGAGUAGAAACAAGUGAGUUGUGGGCGAUACAAGUCAUACUACUUACCAGCAUGUCAUACUUUGGUUCGGUGGUAUUGUUGGAUGAAAUAGCCCGGACCAACAUUACGUGUACGCUUACUGGAGACUGGUUCUACCGACGUGCUUUGCACAUAGGUGGCUAGCGGGUGUCGGUUUCUCCAACUUUAGUUGAACCGAGUGUGGCUACGCCCGGUCCUUGAGAAGGUUAAAACAGCACUAACUUGACGAACUAUCGCUGUGGUUUUGAUGCGUAGGUAAGAACGCUUCUUGCUCAGCCCGUAGCAGCCACAUAAACUUGCAACAACAAAGUAGAGGACGUCUAACUUGUUUUUGCAGGGCAUGUUGUGAUGUGAUAUGGUCAAGAUGUGAUGCUAUAUUUUAUUGUAUGAGAUGAUCAUGUGUUGUAACCGAGUUAUCGGCAACUAACAGGAGCCAUAUGGUUGUCGCUUUAUUGUAUGCAAUGUUAUCGCCCUAUAAUUGCUUUACUUUAUCACUAAGCGGUAGCGAUAGUCGUAGAAGCAAUAAGUGGUGAAACGACAACAAUGCUACGAUGGAGAUCAAGGUGUCGCGCCGGUGAUGAUGGUGAUCAUGACGGUGCUUUGGAGAUGAAGAUCACAAGCACAAUAUGAUGAUGACCAUAUCAUAUCACUUAUAUUGAUUGCAUGUGAUGUUUAUCCUUUAUGCAUCUUAUUUUGCUUUGAUUGACGGUAGCAUUAUAAGAUGACCUCUCACUAAAUUUUGAGAUAUAAGUUUUCUCCCUGUGUAUGCACCAUUGCGAAAGUUCUUCGUGCUGAGACACCAUGUGAUGAUCGGGUGUGAUAGGCUCUACGUUCAAAUACAACGGGUGCAAAACAGUUGCACACGCGGAAUACUCAGGUUAAACUUGACGAGCCUAGCAUAUACAGAUAUGGCCUCAGAACACUGAGACCGAAAGGUCGAGCAUGAAUCAUAUAGUAGAUAUGAUCAACAUAGUGAUGUUCAUCAUUGAAAACUACUCCAUUUCACGUGAUGAUCGGACAUGGUUUAGUUGAUUCGGGUCACGUGAUCACUUAGAUGAUUAGAGGGAUGUCUAUCUAAGUGGGAGUUCUUAAGUAAUAUGAUUAAUUGAACUUUAAUUUAUCAUGAACUUAGUCCUUAUAGUAUUUUGCAAAUUAUGUUGUAGAUCAAUAGCUCGUGUUGUUGCUUCCCUAUGUUUUUAUAUGUUCCUGGAGAAAACUAAGUUGAAAGAUGAUAGUAGCAAUGAUGCGGACUUGGUCCGUGAUCUGAGGUUUAUCCUCAUUGCUGCAUAGAAUAAUUAUGUCCUUGAUGCACCGCUAGGUGACAGACCUAUUACAGGAGCAGAUGCAAACGUUAUGAACGUUUGGCUAGCUCAAUAUGAUGACUACUUGAUAGUUUUGUGCACCAUGCUUUAUGGCUUAGAACCAGGACUACAAAAAUGUUUUUGAAACGUAACGUAACAUAUGAGAUGUUCCAUGAGAUGAAAUUGGUAUUUCAGACUCAUGCCCGUGUCAAGAGGUAUGAGACCUCUGACAAAUACUUCGCCUAAAAGAUGGAGGAGAAUUGCUCAACUAGUGAGCAAGUGCUUAGAUUGUCUGAGUACUACAAUUUCUUGAAUCAAGUGGGAGUUGAUCUUCCAGAUAAGAUAGUGAUUGGCAGAGUUCUCUAGUCACCAUCACCAAGUUACUGCAACUUUGUGAUGAACUAUAGUAUGCAAGGGAUGACGAAAACGAUUCCCGAGCUCUUUGUGAUGUUGAAAUCGACGAAGGUAGAAAUCAAGAAAAUAGCAUCAAGUGUUGAUGAUUGAUAAGACCACUAGUUUCAAGAAAAGGGCAAAGGAAAAGAAAGGGAACUUCAAGUAGAAUGGAAAGCAAGUUGUCACUCCCGUGAAGAAGUCCAAAGCUGGACCAAAGCCUGAAACUAAGUGCUUCUACUGCAAAGGAAAUGGUCACUGGAAGCGGAAAUGCCCUAAAUAUUUGGUGGAUAAGAAGCAUGGCAAAGUGAAAAGGGGUAUAUUUGAUAUACAGGUUAUUGAUGUGUAUCUUACUAGUGUUUAUAGUAGCUCCUGGGUAUUUGAUACUUGUUCGGUUGCUAAGAUUAGUAACUCGAAACAGGAGUUACAGAAUAAACAGAGACUAGUUGAGGGUGAAGUGACGAUGUGUGUUGGAAGUGGUUCCAAGAUUGAUAUGAUCAUCAUCGCAGACUCCCUAUACUUUCGAGAUUAGUGUUGAACCUAAAUAAAUGUUAUUUGGCAUUUGCGUUGAGCAUGAAUAUGAUUUGAUCAUGUUUAUUGCAAUACGUUUAUUCUUUUAAAGUCAGAGAAUAAUUGUUUUUCUAUUUACAUGAAUAAAACCUUCGAUGGUCAUACAACCAAUGAAAAUAGUUUGUUGGAUCUCGAUCGUAGUGAUACACAUAUUCAUAAUAUUGAUGCCAAAAGAUGCAAAGUUGAUAAUGAUAGUGCAACUUAUUUGUGGCACUGCCGUUUGGGUAAUAUCAGUGUAAAGCGCACGAAGAAACUCCAUAAAGAUGGAUUUUUGGAAUCACUUGGUUAUGAAUCAUUUGAUGCUUUUGAACCGUGCCUUAUGGGCAAGAUGACUAAAACUCCGUUCUCCGGAACAAUGGAACGAGCUACUGACUUAUUGGAAAUAAUACAUACCGAUGUAUGCGGCCCAAUGAGUGUUGAUGCUCGUGGCGGGUAUCGUUAUUUUCUGACCUUCACAGAUGAUUUGAGCAGAUAUGAGUAUAUCUUCUUAAUGAAACACAAGUUUGAAACAUUUGAAAAGUUCAAAGAAUUUCAGAGUGAAGUGGAGAAUCAUCGUAACAAGAAAAUAAAGUUUCUACAAUCUGAUCGUGGAGGAGAAUAUUUGAGUUACGAGUUCGGCCUUCAUAUAAACCAAUGUGGAAUAGUUUCACAGUUCACACCACCUGGAACACCACAGCGUUAUGGUAUGUCCGAACGUCGUAACCGCACUUUUUUGGAUAUUGUGCGAUCUAUGAUGUAUCUUACCGAUUUACCACUAUCGUUUUGGGGUUAUGCAUUAGAGAUAGUUGCAUUCACGUUUAAAUAGGACACCAUCGAAAUCCGUUGAGACGACGCCUUAUGAACUAUGGUUUAGCAAGAAACCAAAGUUAUCGUUUCUUAAAAGUUUGGGGCUACGAUGCUUAUAUGAAAAACUUUCAACCUGAUAAGCUCAAACCCAAAUCGGAGAAGUGCGUCUUCAUAGGAUACCCAAAAGGAAACUAUUGGGUACACCUUCUCUCACAGAUCUGAAGGCAAGAUAUUCAUUGCUAAGAAUGGAUCCUUUCUAGAGAAGGAGUUUCUCUCGAAAGAAGUGAGUGGGAGGAAAGUAGAACUUGAUGAGGUAAUUGUACCUUCUCCCAAAUUGGAAAGUAGUUCAUCACAGAAAUCAGUUCCAGUGAUUCCUACACCAAUUAGUGAGGAAGCUAAUGAUGAUGAUCAUGAAACUUCAGAUCAAAUUACAACCGAACCUCGUAGGUCUUCCAGAGUAUGGUCCGCACCAAAGUGGUACGGUAAUCCUAUUCUGGAAAUCAUGUUACUAGACCAUGAUGAACCUACGAGCUAUGAGGAAGCAAUGAUGAGCCCAGAUUCCGCGAAAUGGCUUGAAGCCAUGAAAUCUGAGAUAGGAUCCAUGUAUGAGAACAAAUGUGGACUUUGAUUGACUUGCCCGAUGAUCGGUAAGCCAUCAAGAAUAAAUGGAUCUUCAAGAGUAAGACGGACACUGAUAGUAGUGUUACUAUAUACAAAGCUUGACUUGUUGCGAAAGGUUUUCGACAAGUUCAAGGUGUUGAAUACGAUGAGAUUUUCUCACUCGUAGUGAUGCUUAAGUCUGUCCGAAUCAUGUUAGCAAUUGCCACAUUUUAUGAAAUCUGGCAAAUGGAUGUCAAAACUACAUUCCUUAAUGGAUUUAUUAAAGAAGAGUUGUAUAUGAUGCAACCAAAAGGUUUUGUCGAUCCGAAAGGUGCUAACAAAGUGAGCAAGCACCAGCGAUCCAUUUAUGGACUGGUGCAAGCCUCUUGGAGUUGGAAUAAACGCUUUGAUAGUUUGAUCAAAGCAUAUGCUUUUAUACAGACUUUUGGAGAAGCCUGUAUUUACAAGAAAGUGAGUGGGAGCUCUCUAGCAUUUCUGAUAUUAUAUGUGGACGACAUAUUGUUGAUUGGAAAUGAUAUAGAACUUCUGGAUAGCAUAAAAGGAUACUUGAAUAAAAGUUUUUCAAUGAAAGACCUCGGUGAAGCUGCUUACAUAUUGAGCAUCAAGAUCUAUAUAGAUCGAUCAAGACGCUUGAUAAGUUUUUUCAAUGAGUACAUACCUUGACAAGAUUUUGAAGUAGUUCAAAAUAGAAGAGUCAAAGAAAGAGUUCUUGCCUGUGUUACAAGGUGUGAAAUUGAGUAAGACUCAAAGCCCGACCACGGCAGAAGAUAGAAAUGAAAGUCAUGCCCUCCUUAGUCAUAGGUUCUAUAAAGUAUGAUAUGUUGUGUACGAGACCUAUUGUAUACCUUGCUCUGAGUUUGGCAAGGGAGUACAAUUUUAAUCUAGGAGUAGAUCACUAGAUAGUGGUAAAGAAUGUCAUUAGUAAGGACUAAGGAAAUGUUUCUUGAUUAUGGAGGUGAUAAAAGAAUUCAUCGUGAAGAGUUACAUCGGUGCAAGCUUUUACACCGAUCCAGAUGACUCUAAAGUCUCAAUCUGGAUACAUAUUGAAAGUGGGAGCAAUUAGCUAGAGUAGCUCCGUGCAGAGCAUUGUAGACAUAGAAUAUUUGCAAAAAGCAUACGGCUCUGAAUGUGACAGACCCGUUGACUAAACUUCUCUCACGAGCAAAACAUGAUCAUACCUUAGUACUCUUUGGGUGUUAAUCACAUAGCGAUGUGAACUAGAUUAUUGACUCUAGUAAACCCUUCGGGUGUUAAUCACAUACAGAUGUGAAUAUUGGUGUUAAAUCACAUGAUGAUGUGAACUAGAUUAUUGACUCUAGUGCAAGUGGGAGACUGAAGGAAAUAUUCCCUAGAGGCAAUAAUAAAGUUAUUAUUUAUUUCCUUAUAUCAUGAUAAAUGUUUAUUAUUCAUGCUAAAUUUGUAUUAACCGGAAACAUGAAACAUGUGUGAAUACAUAGACAAACUGAGUGUCACUAGUAAGCCUCUACUUGACUAGCUCGUUAAUCAAAGAUGGUUAUGUUUCCUAGCCAUGGACAAAGAGUUGUCAUUUGAUUAACGGGAUCACAUCAUUAGGAGAAUGAUAUGAUUGACUUGACCCAUUCCGUUAGCUUAGCACUUGAUCGUUUAGUAUGUUGCUAUUGCUUUCUUCAUGACUUAUACAUGUUCCUAUGACUAUGAGAUUAUGCAACUCCCCUUUACCGGAGGAACACUUUGUGUUCUACCAAACGUCACAAUGUAAUUGGGUGAUUAUAAAGGUGCUCUACAGAUGUCUCCGAAGGUACUUGUUGGGUUGGCAUAUUUUGAGAUUAAGAUUUGUCACCCCCAUUGCUGGAGAAGUAUCUCUAGGCCCUCUCGGUAAUGCACAUCACUAUAAGCCUUGCAAGCAAUGUGACUAAUGAGUUAGUUGCGGGAUGAUGCAUUACAUAACGAGUAAAGAGACUUGCCGGUAACGAGAUUGAAUUAGGUAUUGAGAUACCGACGAUCGAAUCUCGGGCAAGUAACAUACUGAUGACAAAGUGAACAACGUAUGUUGUUAUGCGGUUUGACCGAUAAAGAUCUUCGUAGAAUAUGUAGGAGGCAAUAUGAGCAUCUAGGUUCCGCUAUUGGUUAUUGACCGGAGAUGAGUCUCGGUCAUGUCUACAUAGUUCUCGAACUCGUAGGGUCCGCACGCUUAACGUUCUAUGACGAUUUAUAUUAUGAGUUAUGUGUUUUGAUGUACCGAAGCCACUUGGGAGUCCUGGAUGAGAUCGGAGACAUGACGAGGAGUCUCGAAAUGGUCGAGACGUAAAGAUCGAUAUAUUGGACGACUAUAUUCGAACAUCAGAAAGGUUCCGAGUGAUUUGGGUAUUUAUCGUUGUACCGGAGAUUUAAGGGAAUUCGUCGGGGAGAAGUAUUGGGCCUUAUUGGGCCAUACGGGAAAGAGAGAGGGGCUGCCUAGGUCGGGCCGUGCCCCCCCCCCCCCAAGGCCUAGUCCGAAUUGGACUAGGGGGAAGGGUUGCGCCCCCUCCUUCCUUCCCUUCUUUCUUCCCUUUCCUUGACUCCUACUCAUACUACAUGGAAGGGGGGGAUCCUACUCCCGGUGGGAGUAGGACUCCCCAGGGUGCGCCAUAGAGAGGGCCGGCCCCUCCCCUCCUCUCCUCCUUUAUAUACUGAGGCAAGGGGCACCCCAUAUACAUAACAAUUGAUCCUUGAGAUCUAUUAGCCGUGUGCGGUGCCCCCCUCCACCAUAUUCAAACUCGAUAAUAUCGUACUGGUGCUUAGGCGAAGCCCUGCGUUAGUAGAACAUCAUCAUCGUCAUCACACCGUCGUGCUGACGGAACUCUCCCUCGAAGCUCGGCUGGAUCAGAGUUCGAGGGAUGUCAUCGAGCUGAACGUGUGCUGAACUCGGAGGUGUCGUGCGUUCGGUACUUGAUCGGUCGGAUUGUGAAGACGUACGACUACAUCAACUAUGUUGUGCUAACGCUUCCGCUUACGGUCUACGAGGGUAUGUGGACAUACUCUCCCCUCUCGUUGCUAUGCAUCACCACGAUCUUGCGUGUACGUAGGAAAGUUUUUGACAUUACUACAUUCCCCAACAGUGGUAUCAGAGCCAGGUUAUAUGCAUAGAUGUUCUAUGCACGAGUAGAACACAAGUGAGUUGUGGGCGAUACAAGUCAUACUUCUUACCAGCAUGUUAUACUUUGGUUCGGUGGUAUUGUUGGAUGAAGUGGUCCAGACCGACAUUACGUGUACGCUUACGCGAGACUGGUUCUACCGAUGUGCUUUGCACAUAGGUGGCUGGCGGGUGUCAGUUUCUCCAACUUUAGUUGAACCGAGUGUGGCUACGCCCGGUCCUUGAGAAGGCUAAAACAGCACUAACUUGACGAACUAUCGGUAUGGUUUUGAUGCGUAGGUAAGAACGGUUCUUGCUCAGCCCGUAGCAGCCACGUAAAACUUGCAACAACAAAGUAGAGGACGUCUAACUUGUUUUUGCAGGGCAUGUUGUGAUGUGAUAUGGUCAAGACAUGAUGCUAUAUUUUAUUGUAUGAGAUGAUCAUGUUUUGUAACCGAGUUAUCGGCAACUUGCAGGAGCCAUAUGGUUGUCGCUUUAUUGCAUGCAAUGUUAUCGCCCUGUAAUUGCUUUACUUUAUCACUAAGCGGUAGCAAUAGUCGUAGCAGCAAUAGGUGGCGAAACGCAAUGAUGCUACGAUGGAGAUCAAGGUGUCACGCCGGUGAUGAUGGUGAUCAUGAAGGUGCUUUGGAGAUGAAGAUCACAAGCACAAGAUUAUGAUGGCCAUAUCAUAUCACUUAUAUUUAUUGCAUGUGAUGUCUAUCCUUUAUGCAUCUUAUUUUUCUUUGAUAGACGGUAGCAUUAUAAGAGGAUCUCUCACUAAAUUUCAAGGUAUAAGUGUUCUCCCUGAGUAUGCACCAUUGCGAAAGUUCUUCGUGCUGAGACACCACGUGAUGAUCGGGUGUGAUAGGCUCUACGUUCAAAUACAACGGGUGCAAAACAGUUGCACACGUGGAAUACUCAGGUUAAACUUGACGAGCCUAGCAUAUACAGAUAUGGCCUCGGAACACUAAAGCCGAAAGGUCGAGCGUGAAUCAUAUAGUAGAUAUGAUCAACAUAGUGAUGUUCACCAUUGAAAACUACUCCAUCUCACGUGAUGAUCGGACAUGGUUUAGUUUAUUUGGAUCACGUGAUCACUUAGAUGAUUAGAGGGAUGUCUAUCUAAGUGGGAGUUCUUAAGUAAUAUGAUUAAUUGAACUUUAAUUUAUCAUGAACUUAGUCCUGAUAGUAUUUUGCAAAUUAUGUUGUACAUCAAUAGCUCGCGUUGUUGCUUCCCUAUGUUUUUAUAUGUUCCUAGAGAAAACUAAGUUGAAAGAUGAUAGUAGCAAUGAUGCGGACUUGGUCCGUGAUCUGAGGUUUAUCCUCAUUGUUGCACAGAAGAAUUAUGUCCUUGAUGCACCACUAGGUGACAGGCCUAUUACAGGAGCAGAUGCAGACGUUAUGAACGUUUGGCUAGCUCAAUAUGAUGACUACUUGAUAGUUUUGUGCACCAUGCUUUAUGCUUAGAAAUGGGACUACAAAAAGGUUUUUGAAACGUCACGCAACAUAUGAGAUGUUCCAUGAGAUGAAAUUGGUAUUUCAGACUCAUGCCCGUGUCAAGAGGUAUGAAACCUCUGACAAAUACUUCGCCUAAAAGAUGGAGGAGAAUUGCUCAACUAGUGAGCAAGUGCUUAGAUUGUCUGAGUACUACAAUCGCUUGAAUCAACUGGGAGUUAAUCUUCCAGAUAAGAUAGUGAUUGGCAGAGUUCUCUAGUCACCAUCACCAAGUUACUGGAACUUUGUGAUGAACUAUAGUAUGCAAGGGAUGACGAAAACGAUUCCCGAGCUCUUUGUGAUGUUGAAAUCGACGAAGGUAGAAAUCAAGAAAAUAGCAUCAAGUGUUGAUGAUUGAUAAGACCACUAGUUUCAAGAAAAGGGCAAAGGAAAAGAAAGGGAACUUCAAGUAGAAUGGAAAGCAAGCUGUCACUCCCGUGAAGAAGCCCAAAGCUGGACCAAAGCCUGAAACUAAGUGCUUCUACUGCAAAGGAAAUGGUCACUGAAAGCGGAAAUGCCCUGAAUAUUUGGUGGAUAAGAAGCAUGGCAAAGUGAAAAAGGGUGUAUUUCAUAUACAGGUUAUUGAUGUGUACCUUACUAGUGUUUAUAGUAGCCCCUGAGUAUUUGAUACUUGUUCGGUUGCUAAGAUUAGUAACUCGAAAUAGGAGUUACAGAAUAAACAGAGACUAGUUGAGGGUGAAGUGAUUAUGUGUGUUGGAAGUGGUUCUGAGAUUGAUAUGAUCAUCAUCGCACACUCCCUAUACUUUCAAGAUUAUUGUUGAACCUAAAUAAAUGUUAUUUGGCGUUUGCGUUGAGCAUGAAUAUGAUUUGAUCAUGUUUAUUGCAAUACGGUUAUUCAUUUAAAGUCACAGAAUAAUUGUUGUUCUAUUUACAUGAAUAAAACCUUCGAUGGUCAUACAACUAAUGAAAAUAGUUUGUUGGAUCUCGAUCGUAGUGAUACACAUAUUCAUAAUAUUGAUGCCAAAAGAUGCAAAGUUAAUAAUGAUAGUGCAACUUAUUUAUGGCACUUCCGUUUGGGUCAUAUCAGUGUAAAGUGCAUGAAGAAACUCCAUAAAGAUGGACUUUUGGAAUCACUUGGUUAUGAAUCAUUUGAUGCUUGCGAACUGUGCCUUAUGGGCAAGAUGACUAAAACUCCGUUCUCCGAAACAAUGGAAUGAGCUACUGACUUAUUGGAAAUAAUACAUACUAAUGUAUGCGGUCCAAUGAGUGUUGAUGCUCGUGGCGGGUAUCGUUAUUUUCUGACCUUCACAGAUCAUUUGAGCAUAUAUGAGUAUAUCUUCUUAAUGAAACACAAGUCUGAAACAUUUGAAAAGUUCAAAGAAUUUUAGAGUGAAGUGGAGAAUCAUUGUAACAAGAAAAUAAAGUUUCUACGAUCUGAUCGUGGAGGAGAAUAUUUGAGUUACGAGUUUGGCCUUUGAGGGAGUUCCGGACUAGGGGGUGUCCGGAUAGCCGAACUAUCAUCAUCGGCCGGACUCCAAGACUAUGUAGAUACAAGAUUGAAGACUUCGUCCCGUGUCCGGAUGGGACUUUCCUUGGCGUGGAAGGCAAGCUUGGCGAUACGGAUAUGUAGAUUUCCUACCUUUGUAACCGACUCUGUGUAACCCUAGCCCUCUCCGGUGUCUAUAUAAACCGGAUGGUUGUAGUCCAUAGGACGAACAACAAUCAUACCAUAGGCUAGCUUCUAGGGUUUAGCCUCCUUGAUCUCGUGGUAGAUCCACUCUUGUAACACACAUCAUCAAUAUUAAUCAAGCAGGACAUAGGGUUUUACCUCCAUCAAGAGGGCCCGAACCUGGGUAAAACAUCGUGUCCCUCGUCUCCUGUUACCAUCCGCCUAGACGCACAGUUCGGGACCCCCUACCCGAGAUCCGCCGGUUUUGACACCGACAUUGGUGCUUUCAUUGAGAGUUCCUCUUUGUCGUCACUGAUAGGCUCGAUGGCUUCUUCGACCAUCAUCUACGACGCAGUCCAGGGCGAGACUUUUCUCCCCGGACAGAUCUUCGUAUUCGGCGGCUUUGCACUGCGGGCCAAUUCGCUUGGCCAACUGGAGCAGAUCGAAAGCUACGCCCCUGGCCGUCAGGUCAGAUUUGGAAGUUUGAACUUCACGGCUGACAUCCGCGGGGACUUGAUCCUCGAUGGAUUCGAGCCACAGCCGAGCGUGUCGCACUGUCGCGGCGAGCAUGAUUUAGCUCUGCAGCCGGACAGUACCCUGGAGGCCGCACUUGAAACCGCUCCGAUCUUCAAUUCGGAGCCAGCUGCGCAGAUCGAGGACGGAUGCCUAGACACCGCCUCGGGGGCUGCAACCUCUACAGCGAUAGAGCCGAACACUGACUUUGUCCCUCAUAAAGCUCAUGACUCCGAGGCGCCGGACUCCGAACCUCCCGCGCUCCCCCCGAUCGAAUCCGAUUGGGCGCCGAUCAUGGAAUUCACCGCAGCGGACAUCUUUCAACACUCACCUUUCGGCGACAUCUUGAGUUCGCUAAAGUAUCUCUCGUUAUCAGGAGAGCCCUGGCCGGACUGCGGUCAGAAAGGUUGGGACGCGGACGACGAAGAAAUUCAAAGCCCACCCACCACCCACUUGGUAGCCGCUGUCGACGAUCUAACCGACAUGCUAGACUACGACUCCGAAGACAUCGACGGUAUGGACGACGAUGCCGGAGACGACCAAGAACCAGCGCCUAACGGGCACUGGAAAGCCACCCCAGCUCACAACGUAUACAUGGUGGAUACACCAAAAGGAAGCGACAAUGAGGAAAAACGGGACGCGGCGAAGGACAACUCCCCCAACAAACAAACAAAGCGGUGACGCAAGCGCCGCCCGAAGACCGGCAUCGACAAAAACGGCACCCAUACGGACCCGGCCCUAGAGCAGGGCGAAGCAGUGGACAACGCACAUGUCAACAAGCAGCCAGCCGGACAUGAACUGGACAAGCAACCCAUCCCCGGCGAAGAUGAUCUCACAUCACCAGAGCAUAUGAAUCUUCAUAAAAGGCUCGUCGCCACUACAAGAAGUUUGAAGAAGCAAAAGCGGAAGCUCAAAACAGCGGAGGACGCACUCAGAAUGAGAUGGAGCAAAGUACUCAGCACCACAGAUAAAUAUGGCACUAGUCACCAGACAAAGAGCUACCGAAGCGAAAGCUGUUGCCCGAAUUUGACGAGGAGGCCUUAGAGCCCCCACAGUCAAAAAAGAAAGAAGCCUCCUGGCCGGAUAGACGACCAGAUGACAGGCCAAGAGCAUCAAGGGGCGCCGCACACAAGCCGGCACACGAUCAGCAUAAAGAUCCUCGGAAAAAGGAUAACCCGGCCAGGUCUAUCUAUGGGCCAAAAAAGAAGACUCCAGGAAGUAACACAACCAGCUGAGCAUUUGAAGACAACGGCACACCCAAAUACAGGGGCGCCGCACACCCACUAUGUUUUACCGACGAGGUACUAGAUCAUGGAUUUCCAGCGGGAUUCAAACCCGUAAACAUAGAGGCAUACGACGGAACAACAGACCCCGGAGUCUGGAUUGAGGAUUAUAUCCUACACAUACAUAUGGCAAGAGGAGACGAUCUCCAUGCCAUAAAAUACCUGCCCCUCAAGCUCAAAGGGCCGGCUCGGCAUUGGCUUAAAAGCCUCCCAGAAAAUACGAUUGGAAGUUGGGAAGAGCUUGAGGAUGCGUUUCGAGCGAAUUCUCAGGGGACUUAUGUCCGGCCUCCGGAUGCAGACGAUUUAAGUCACAUAACUCAACAGCCCGGGGAGUCAGCACGCAAAUUCUAGAACAGGUUCCUCACUAAAAAGAACCAAAUAGUCGACUGUCCGGACGCUGAAGCCUUAGCAGCCUUUAAACACAACGUCCGAGACGAAUGGCUCGGCAGACACCUCGGCCAGGAAAAACCAAGAAGAAUGGCCGCACUAACAAGCCUCAUGGCACGCUUUUGCACAGGGGAAGACAGCUGGCUGGCUAGAUGCAGCACUAGCGACCCGAGUACAUCCGAAAUUAGGGAUGGAAAUGGGAAAUCACGAUGCAGAAAAGAUCAGCGUCGGAAUAAGGAAAAUGGCCCAAAUAGUACGGCGGUCAACACCGGAUUCAAAAGCUCUUGGCCGAACAACAAAACACUGCCCCUCAAGGACAAUAGUGACGAGCUAUCCAACCUAAACAAGAUUCUGGACAGACUGUGCCAAAUACAUGGUACCUCCGGGAAGCCUGCAAACCAUACCCACAGAGAUUGUUGGGUCUUCAAGCAGUCCGGCCGACUUAAUGCCGAACACAAGGGGCUCGACACACCAAGUGAAAGUGACGAAACCCAAAAGCAGCGCUCCGGAAACCAAAAGACUUCCCCACUAGAAGUCAAAACAGUGAACUCACUUCAUGUGAUAACACACAGCGCGGCACCUGCUAUACCAGGACACCGUCCGCAGACUGGGGAUAGAACCCACCAAAAUUCACUAUAGCAGCACUUCCUUCAAAGGAGCGACACCAGGCCUUUUAAGCCAAUUUUACAGGCUCUGUACCACUAGAGGUCGUGUUCGGUUCAUCCGACAACCUCCGUCGCGAAAAGCUCACUCUCCAUCGCCCCAUUUAACAGUAGCUCUUAAGCACUACUGGGGCGCAAAACUUUCGCCUGCUUUAAUGCAAUACAACAUUACGCGUCUCUUACGCUUAGAAAUGCCCGGUCCACGUGGCAUAAUCUCACAACUCUGAGUGUCCCUCGACCACAGAGAAUGUGCGACUGCUUCGACAGCCACACAUUAAUCAGACCUUGCAGGUCAAAGUCCCUGAAAAACAGGUCAUUUAGACCUCGGACAUGGUUAGACAAGUCCGGCGUAAGCUAACAAGGGGAUUCCCAGCCGCAUACCCCCUUUUUUUAGGGGGGCGCACGCAUAAAUGAUGAAAGCCAGUAAAGCUCAACUUUCUUCAUCUUCCAAACUAUACUUUAUUUUAAUACAAUUUUUGCACGAUAUUUCUUAGAAACUAAGUCCUUCUCUUUUACAGAUGAAGCACGUGCUACACCCGUCCAGGAUACAGCACAACAGAGACACAGGCGCAGACGUGCAGUAGGGACCCGUUGCAAGGAUUCUUUUCAGAUUAAGACCCUGCGUAAACCUUUCUUACUGUCUCUAGUUGAUACACAUCCCCCGGUUUCCUACCAGAGCCGAGGAGGAGGCUGGCGUUUUGGCAUCGUCCGCGUUAGAAGUUCCCGCCUGUACCUGGACACUAGGGGCUUAGGGCUUUGUUCGGCCCAAUAUCAUAAAGACCGAACACCUCAGGGAGUGUUCGGCGUCUCGAGUUAGGCCUUAUAUGCAUCAGCUCCAAAUCAUGUCUUUGGUCAAAUGUUGGGUUUGCCCGGCUCCUGUGUUUUGCUGCCUUACGUUCCGUAUCAUCGGCUAACGCGGCACCAGGAGAACUACUGCGAUUGUGCCCCGGUUCGGCCGGGAGAGCACCUCAGUAGAGAAAGCCAAAAACUGACUAUCAUGAUAUAGCGAGAGACUGGUCAACCACUCGAUCGACCAUUGGAAUGUUUAGAAUUCCUCCGCUUUGACGAAGGACCACUUCCCGGUCAGGCGCAUACGCGCCCCGAGUUCGGAGAAGCGCGAUGCCAUCAGGGGCUAUAUAGUAGCCCCACAUUCGAGCUCCUAUGGCUAAGUGAAAGUGAUAAAGCAUUAUAGUCCGGUUGCCUAGUUUGCUACGCUAUCACCUCCUUAAAAGGACCAAGACGUUGGAUUAAGUGUGAAAAAGCGAUUUUCUUUUUGCAAACACCCCCGCACCAUGUGCGUGGGGGCUGAAGCCAAAGACUGCCAUCUUUCAGAUUAUACAUAUAUAUACGGCCGCGCAGGAGAUAGUUCAAUACUUGAACACACAAGUAUAAAAAGUCAUUGCAUUAUAAACAUGAUCUUAGAAAUCAUACAUGUCAUUCAAACAUAACAUCUUUCGAGCACUGCGACUCUAUUAUACGAGCGCCCUGCAGGACUUCCUCAAAGUAAUGCUCGGUGGGGAAUCGGCUUUUGACCGAAUCCCGGGAUGCAACAGCGGUGGCAUCCAUCUCCGCCUAGUAUGUUUUACCACGGGCGAGAGCCAUCCGUGCACCUUCUAUGCAUGCCGACCGCUUCAUCGCCUUAAUAUGCGGCACUGCCCCAAGGAAUUGCUGCAACAAGCCAAAAUAACUCUUCGGCUUGGGCCUUUUCGGCCACAGAUGAGUGACCACAUCCGUCAUGGCCAGGCCGGACAAUCUAUUCAGCUCAGCCCACUCAACCAGCCGAUCACUUAACGGGAGUGGACGCUCCGGACUAUGAAAUUGAGACCAGAAAAGCUCUUCCAUUUCAUGAUCCUCCUGGCUUUGAAAGUGCAUGACUGCGUCAGCCGCACUCGCCGCCAAGUCUAGAUAAGGAUCCUCCGCACCAUACAAUCGGCCCAGCUGAGCAUACUUCGGAUCCGUGAACUUCCUACGCAGCAUAAAGGGCUUUUCAGCCACAAUGUCUCCGACCUGACGCAGUUCCUCCUUCAUAGCCCACAUCACACUACGGGCAUCCUUGGCUUCGGCAUCGGCCUUCUUCAGGUCCUCUUGCUCCGCUCGGUGUUCUCCUUCAAGAACCUCCAGGCGGUCGGUAGCAACUUUUAAUUUCAUGGCCAUUCCGGCCAUCUCCUCCCUGCUUUGGCAGUGAGCAGCCUUCUCGGCUUCUAGCUCUUCCGCUGCCUUCAAGGCAGCCGCCUCACUUUUUCUGGCUUGCUCCUUGGCCCGAGAAAGUUCUGCUCGAAGGUCUUCCACAGCAGCAGCACCAUCUGCAUCAAGCAUACAACUUGUAAGGAAUGGGCAUUAGCUCCCUUACUAAGCGACCGCGGCGCAAUCACAUACCUUGUGACUCAUCAAGUCAUUUAUUGACCAGCGAGAUGUCCGCAUCUGAAGCGUCGAGUUGCUUCUUCAGCUCGGCGAAUCCAUUAGUCCGGCUGGCCACCGAACAUUCCGCCACCUACAUAGGAAAAGCGACAGUUAAUAACUGAGAUUAUGAUCCUAGGCACGCUGCCGUUUUCGACAGCAUACCAAGUCUCAGGGGCUACUAUCUAUACAGGGCGCACUUCAUGUGCAAAACUGUCAACAGGUAUGUCAUUUUUUGCGUACCUCAAAUCCCGUCAGUAAACUUCCGACGGCCUCAUACAACCCGCUUUCGGCGGACGGGAUCCUCUCAAUCACAUUACCCAUUAAUGUGCGGUGAUCUUCUGAGAUGGAUGCCCUCUUAAGCAAAUCCUGCAGCUCCACCGGCCGUACUCCAAUGGGUGCCGAACUCUCCGGCCCCGCCGGACUCGGGGAGACCCUCCGCGACGACACCUCAGGGUCGUCCGCCCCGCGCGAUGGGGCGGCAGAUGGAGGCGUUUCGCUCUCCAUCAUCUCCGGACGAAGGUCUCCCGAAGAUGAGCUGUGCUGAGAUGGGCUGAGAUCCGAACUACAAGGUAAAAACUUUAGUUACCUUUAGACAUUAAGCAAGGGUGUAUAAUAAUUAUAAAAUUCCCCUUUUUACUUACGGCUCGUUAGAGGGCUGAUUCCUCCGAGGAGACAGUACGGCCGGGGCUCUUCUCGACGCAGGACCUUCCGGUACAGAUUUCUUUCCCCGCUUUGAGGCCUUGGCCUCCGGGUCUUCGGAAGCGGUCCUAUUCUCCCCCUGGAAGGAGGGACUCUCGAUUCCUCCCUUACUAAAAACCUCCUUGGCAGAGGUGACAGUUUCCCCGUGCCCCCCUUCGCCCUCAUUCGAAGGUGCAACCUCCAACAUUUUGAUUAACACGGGAUCCUGCGUGGUCUCAGGGAGGGGGCCAGACACCGUAUCAGUUUUGCUUGCGCUAUCCACUCCUGUCCAGGGAUAGCUGGUUAAAAGGCAAGUUCACGAUAAAUAAUGGACGGUGUGUCCGGACACAGGGCUACUCACUUGAGUAUCCGGGCAAUUGCAGCUUAGGCCAGCGUCCUCGGUCAAUUCCGGAUGCGUCUCUUGCGAUCCGAAGAACAGUUUAUACAUCUCCAUGGGUGUCAAACCCAUGAAGUGUUGAAGAGCUCGUGGCCCCUCCGGAUUAAAUUCCCACAGGCGGAGGGGGCGACGUUUGCAGGGCAGUAGGUGCCGAAUCAACAUGACCUGUACCACUGCGACCAGAUUGAUCUCCCUUUCUUGGAGGCCUCGAAUCCGGUCCUGCAACAGGGGGACGUCUUUGGGCGGCCCCCAGUCACGCCCCUUGUUGACCCAUGACGUCAGCUGCUGUGGAGGGCCCGAGCGAAAGACGGGCGGCGGCUUCUGCCUGCUGCCCCAGGGAGUGGUGAUAUAGAACCACUCCUGUUGCCACAAGCCGAGCUCCUCCUGGAAAGAGCCCUUGGGCCAUGGAGCUUCGGCCCUCUUGCUUAUAACCGCCCCACCGCACUCUACCUGACGCCCCUCAAUCAUCUUCGGCUCCACGUUGAAGGUUUUGAGCCACAAGCCGAAGUGAGGGGUAGUGCGGAAGAAGGCUUCGCAGACGACAAUGAAUGAUGAGAUAUGGAGGAUGGACUCCGGAGCCAAGUCGUGGAAUUCCAGCCCAUAGUAAAACAUGAGCCCCCUCACGAAGGGAUCCGUCGGGAAGCCUAAGCCCCGAUGGAGGUGAGACAUGAACAUGACGCUCUCGCCAGGCUCGGGAGUUGGGAUAACUUGCCCUCGGGCAGGCAGCCUAUGCGAAAUCUCAUAGGUUAAGUACCUGGCGUCUCUCAGCUUUAGCACGUCCUCUUCCGUGACGGAGGAAGGCAUCCACCGGCCUCGUAGGUUAGGACCGGACAUUGUCGAAGAUCGAAGGUACCCGAAUUUGGAGCCCUGGGUGUUGGAACUCGGGGAGAGGGGCGGAUUCGAUAGAGGAUUGAAUAAAAAGAACGGGCCUUGGUCUCAUUAUAAAGAGGAAGAAUACCAAGAGCCGUCCCCGUGACCGUUUGGAACCCGCCUUCGAUGGAGGGGGUGUGGCGACGGGCGCGGUUGGGUUACCCAUGUCCGUAUUGAUGGGAAUCCCGGAAUAAGGGGAACACGAUCUCUGCUUCGACAAGACGUGCCAAGGAAACCGCUUCGCUAAACGCGCGGAGGUGGAGCAAUAAAAACAAUUUGAGUAAAGGCUUGGAAGUGGUGUGACGUCACGCCGCAGAAUACGUCAGUAGAUUGGUCUUGUGUAAUAUUAUUCUCUCUACGGUGGUACAUGGAAUUUAUUUUUGCAGAGCCGGACACUAUCCUGGUGUUCACGAUCUUCUAUAAAUUAUUCGGAGGAGGAACCCGCCUUGCAAUGCCGAAGACAAUAUGCGCGCCGGACUCGUCGUCAUUUAAGCCUGGUUCAGGGGCUACUGAGGGAGAUCCAGACUAGGGGGUGUCCGGGUAGCCGAACUAUCAUCAUCGGCCGGACUCCAAGACUAUGUAGAUACAAGAUUGAAGACUUCGUCCCGUGUCCGGAUGGGACUUUCCUUGGCGUGGAAGGCAAGCUUUGUGAUACGGAUAUGUAGAUUUCCUACCUUUGUAACCGACUCUGUGUAACCCUAGCCUUCUCCGGUGUCUAUAUAAACCGGAUGGCUGUAGUCCAUAGGACGAACAACAAUCAUACCAUAGGCUAGCUUCUAGGGUUUAGCCUCCUUGAUCUCGUGGUAGAUCCACUCUUGUAACACACAUCAUCAAUAUUAAUCAAGCAGGACGUAGGGUUUUACCUCCAUCAAGAGGGCCCGAACCUGGGUAAAACAUCGUGUCCCUCGUCUCCUGUUACCAUCCGCCUAGACGCACAGUUCGGGACCCCCUACCCGAGAUCCGCCGGUUUUGACACCGACAGCCUUCAUAUAAACCAAUAUGGAAUAGUUUCACAGUUCACACCACCUGGAACACCACAGCGUUAUGGUGUGUCCGAACGUCGUAACCGCACUUUAUUGGAUAUUGUGUGAUCUAUGAUGUAUCUUACCGAUUUACCCUUAUCGUUUUGGGGUUAUGCAUUAGAGACAGUUGCAGUCACGUUUAAAUAGGGCACCAUCGAAAUCCGUUGAGAUGACGCCUUAUGAACUGUGGUUUGGCAAGAAACCAAAGUUGUCGUUUCUUAAAAGUUUGGGGCUACGAUGCUUAUAUGAAAAGUUUCAACCUAAUAAGCUCAAACCCAAAUCGGAGAAGUGCGUCUUCAUAGGAUACCCAAAAGGAAACUAUUGGGUACACCUUCUAUCACAGAUCCGAAGGCAAGAUUUUCAUUGCUAAGAAUGGAUCCUUUCUAGAGAAGGAGUUUCUCUCAAAAAAAGUGAGUGGGAGGAAAGUAGAACUUGAUGAGGUAAUUAUACCUUCUCCCGAAUUGGAAAGUAGUUCAUCACAGAAAUUGGUUCCAGUGAUUCCUGCACCAAUUAGUGAGGAAGCUAAUGAUGAUGAUCAUGAAACUUCAGAUCAAAUUACUACCGAACCUCGUAGGUCUUCCAGAGUAUGGUCCGCACCAAAGUGGUACGGUAAUCCUAUUCUGGAAAUCAUGUUACUAGACCAUGAUGAACCUACGAGCUAUGAGGAAGCGAUGAUGAGCCCAGAUUCCGUGAAAUGGCUUGAAGCCAUGAAAUCUGAGAUAGGAUCCAUGUAUGAGAACAAAUGUGGACUUUGAUUGACUUGCCCGAUGAUCGGUAAGCCAUCGAGAAUAAAUGGAUCUUCAAGAGGAAGACGGACACUGGUAGUAGUGUUACUAUCUACAAAGCUUGACUUGUUGCGAAAGGUUUUCGACAAGUUCAAGGUGUUGAAUAUGAUGAGAUUUUCUCACUCGUAGCGAUGCUUAAGUCUGUCCGAAUCAUGUUAGCAAUUGCCACAUUUUAUGAAAUCUGGCAAAUGGAUGUCAAAACUGCAUUCCUUAAUGGAUUUAUUAAAGAAGGGUUGUAUAUGAUGCAACCAAAAUGUUUUGUCGAUCCGAAAGGUGCUAACGAAGUGUGCAAGCUCCAGCGAUCCAUUUAUGGACUAGUGCAAGCCUCUCAGAGUUGGAUUAAACGCUUUGAUAGUGUGAUCAAAGCAUAUGGUUUUAUACAGACUUCUGGAGAAGUCUGUAUUUACAAGAAAGUGAGUGGGAGCUCUCUAGCAUUUCUGAUAUUAUAUGUGGACAACAUAUUGUUGAUUGGAAAUGAUAUAGAAUUUCUGGAUAGCAUAAAAGGAUACUUGAAUAAAAGUUUUUCAAUGAAAGACCUCGAUGAAGCUGCUUACAUAUUGAGCAUCAAGAUCUAUAUAGAUCGAUCAAGACGCUUGAUAAGUUUUUUCAAUGAGUACAUACCUUGACAAGAUUUUGAAGUAGUUCAAAAUAGAAUAGUCAAAGAAAGAGUUCUUGUGUGUGUUACAAGGUGUUAAAUUGAGUAAGACUCAAAGCCCGACCAUGGCAGAAGAUAGAAAUGAAAGUCAUUCCCUAUGCCUUAGUCAUAGGUUCUAUACAGUAUGUUAUGCUAUGUACCAGACCUAUUGUAUACCUUGCUCUGAGUUUGGCAAGGGAGUACCAUUUUGAUCUAGGAGUAGAUCACUCGACAGCGGUCAAGAAUAUCGUUAGUAAGGACUAAGGAAAUGUUUCUCGAUUAUGGAGAUGAUAAAAUAAUUCAUCGUAAAGAGUUACAUCGGUGCAAGCUUUUACACCGAUCCAGAUGACUCUAAAGUGUCAAUCUGGAUACAUAUUGAAAGUGGGAGCAAUUAGCUAGAGUAGCUCCGUGCAGAGCAUUGUAGACAUAGAAUAUUUGCAAAAUACAUACGGCUCUGAAUGUGACAGACCCGUUGACUAAACUUCACUCACGAGCAAAACAUGAUCAUACCUUAGUACUCUUUGGGUGUUAAUCACAUAGCGAUGUGAACUAGAUUAUUGACUCUAGUAAACCCUUCAGGUGUUAAUCACAUACAGAUGUGAAUAUUGGUGUUAAAUCACAUGAUGAUGUGAACUAGAUUAUUGACUCUAGUGCAAGUGGGAGACUGAGGGAAAUAUGCCCUAGAGGCAAUAAUAAAGUUAUUAUUAUUUCCUUAUAUCAUGAUAAAUGUUUAUUAUUCAUGCUAGAAUUGUAUUAACCGGAAACAUGAUACAUGUGUGAAUACAUAGACAAACUGAGUGUCACUAGUAUGCCUCUACUUGACUAGCUCGUUAAUCAAAGAUGGUUAUGUUUCCUAGCCAUGGAAAAAGAGUUGUCAUUUGAUUAACGGGAUCACAUCAUUAGGAGAAUGAUGUGAUUGACUUGACCCAUUCCGUUAGCUUAGCACUUGAUCGUUUAGUAUGUUGAUAUUGCUUUCUUCAUGACUUAUACAUGUGCCUACGACUAUGAGAUUAUGCAACUCACAUUUAUCGGAGGAACACUUUGUGUGCUACCAAACGUCACAACAUAACUGGAUGAUUAUAAAGGUGCUCUACAGGUGUCUCCGAAAGUACUUGUUGGGUUGGCGUAUUUCGAGAUUAGGAUUUGUCACCCCGAUUGUCGGAGAGGUAUCUCUAGGCCCUCUCAGUAAUGCACAUCACUAUAAGCCUUGCAAGCAAUGUGACUAAUGAGUUAGUUGCGGGAUGAUGCAUUACAUAACGAGUAAAGAGACUUGCCAGUAACGAGAUUGAACUAGGUAUUGAGAUACCGACGAUCGAAUCUCGGGCAAGUAACAUACCGAUGAUAAAGUGAACAACGUAUGUUGUUAUGCGGUUUGACCGAUAAAGAUCUUCGUAGAAUAUGUAGGAGCCAAUAUGAGCAUCCAGGUUCCGCUAUUGGUUAUUGACCGGAGAUGAGUCUCGGUCAUGUCUACAUAGUUCUCGGACCCGUAGGGUCCGCACGCUUAACGUUCUAUGAUGAUUUAUAUUAUGAGUUAUGUGUUUUGAUGUACCGAAGGCACUUCGGAGUCCUGAAUGAGAUCGGGGACAUGACGAGGAGUCUCGAAAUGGUCAAGGCAUAAAGAUCGAUAUAUUGGACGACUAUAUUCGGACAUCGGAAAGGUUCCGAAUGAUUCGGUUAUUUAUCGGAGUACCGGAGAGUUACGAGAAUUCGCCGGGGAGAAGUAUUGGGCCUUAUUGGGCCAUAAGGGAAAGAGAGAGGGGCUGCCUAGGUCAGCCCCCCCCCCAAGGCCUAGUCCGAAUUGGACUAGGGGGAGGGGCUGCGCCCCCCUCCUUCCUUCCCUUAUUUCUUCCCUUUCCUUAACUCCUACUCCUACUACAUGGAAGGGGGGAAUCCUACUCCCGAUGGGAGUAGGACUCCCCAAGGCGCGCCAUAGAGAGGGCCGGCCCCUCCCCUCCUCUCCUCCUUUAUAUACUGAGGCAAGGGGCACCUCAUAGACAUAACAAUUGAUCCUUGAGAUCUAUUAGCCGUGUGCGGUGCCCCCCUUCACCAUAUUCCACCUCGAUAAUAUCGUAGCGGUGCUUAGGCGAAGCCCUGCGUCGGUAGAACAUCAUCAUCGUCACCAUGACGUCGUGCUGACGGAACUCUCCCUCGAAGCUCGGCUAGAUCGGAGUUCGAGGGACGUCAUCGAGCUGAACGUGUGCUGAACUCGGAGGUGCCGUGCAUUCGGUACUUGAUUGGUCGGAUCAUGAAGACGUACGACUACAUCAACCGUGUUGUGCUAACGCUUCCGCUUACGGUCUACGAGGGUACGUGGACAUACUCUCCCCUCUCGUUGCUAUGCAUCACCAUUAUCUUGCGUGUACGUAGGAAAUUUUUUGAGAUUACUACGUUCCCCAACAGUGGUAUCAAAGCCUAGUUUUAUGCAUAGAUGUUAUAUGCACGAGUAGAACACAAGUGAGUUGUGGGCGAUACAAGUCAUACUGCUUACCAGCAUGUCAUACUUUGGUUCGACGGUAUUGUUGGAUGAAGCGGCCCGGACCGACAUUACAUGUACGCUUACGCGAGACUGGUUCUACCGACGUGCUUUGCACAUAUGUGGCUGGCGGGUGUCAGUUUCUCCAACUUUAGUUGAACCGAGUGUGGCUACACCCGGUCCUGGAGAAGGUUAAAACAGCACUAACUUGACUAACGGUUCUUGCUCAGCCCGUAGCAGCCACGUAAAACUUGCAACAACAAAUUAGAGGACGUCUAACUUGUUUUUGCAGGGCAUGUUGUGAUGUGAUAUGGUCUAGACGUGAUGCUAUAUUUUAUUGUAUGAGAUGAUCUUGUUUUUAACCGAGUUAUCGGCAACUGGCAGGAGCCAUAUGGUUGUCGCUUCAUUGUAUGCAAUGCUAUCACCCUGUAAAUGCUUUACUUUAUCACUAAGCGGUAGCGAUAGUCGUAAAAGCAAUAGGUGGCAAAACGACAACGAUACUACGAUGGAGAUCAAGGUGUCGCGCUAGUGACGAUGGUGAUCAUGACGGUGCUUCGGAGAUGAAGAUCACAAGCACAAGAUGAUGAUAGCCAUAUCCUAUCACUUAUAUUGAUUGCAUGUGAUGUUUAUCCUUUAUGCAUCUUAUUUUGCUUUGAUUGACGGUAGCAUUAUAAGAUGAUCUCUCACUAAAUUUCAAGGUAUAAGUGUUCUCCCUGAGUAUGCACCGUUGCAAAAUUUCUUCGUGCUGAGACACCAUGUGAUGAUCGGGUGUGAUAGGCUCUACGUUCAAAUACAACGGGUGCAAAACAGUUGCACAUGCGGAAUACUCAGGUUAAACUUGACGAGCCUAGCAUAAACAGAUAUGGCCUCGGAACACUGAGACCGAAAGGUCGAGUGUGAAUCAUAUAGUAGAUAUGAUCAACAUAGUGAUGUUCACCAUUGAAACCUACUCCAUCUCUCGUGAUGAUUGGACAUGGUUUAGUUGAUUUGGAUCACCUGAUCACUUAGAUGAUUAGAGGGAUGUCUAUCUAAGUGGGAGUUCUUAAGUAAUAUGAUUAAUUGAACUUUAAUUUAUCAUGAACUUAGUCCUGAUAGUAUUUUGCAAAUUAUGUUGUAGAUGAAUAGCUCAUGUUGUUGCUUCCCUAUGUUUUUAUAAGUUCCUAGAGAAAACUAAGUUGACAGAUUAUAGUAGCAAUGAUGCGGACUUGGUCCGUGAUCUGAGGUUUAUCCUCAUUGCUGCACAGAAGAAUUACGUCCUUAAUGCACCAUUAGGUGACAGACCUAUUGCAGGAGCAGAUGCAAACGUUAUGAACGUUUGGCUAGCUAAAUAUGAUAACUACUUGAUAGUUUUGUGCAACAUGCUUUAUGUCUUAGAACCAGGACUACAAAAAUGUUUUUGAAACGUCAUGGAACAUAUGAGAUGUUCCAUGAGAUGAAAUUGGUAUUUCAGACUCAUGCCCGUGUCAAGAGGUAUAAGACCUCUAACAAAUACUUCGCCUAAAAGAUGGAGGAGAAUUGCUCAACUAGUGAGCAAGUGCUUAGAUUGUCUGAGUACUACAAUCGCUUGAAUCAAGUGGGUGUUAAUCUUCCUGAUAAGAUAGUGAUUGGCAGAGUUCUCUAGUCAUCAACACCAAGUUACUGGAACUUCAUGAUGAACUAUAGUAUGCAAGGAAUGACGAAAAUGAUUCCCGAGCUCUUCGUGAUGCUGAAAUCGACGAAGGUAGAAAUCAAGAAAAGAGCAUCAAGUGUUGAUGAUUGAUAAGACCACUAGUUUCAAGAAAAGGGCAAAGGAAAAGAAAGGGAACUUCAAGUAGAAUGGCAAGCAAGUUGUCACUCCCGUGAAGAAGCCCAAAGCUGGACCAAAGCCCGAAACAGUGCUUCUACUGCAAAGGAAAUGGUCACUGGAAGCGAAAAUGCCCUGAAUAUUUGGUGGAUAAGAAGGAUGGCAAAGGGAACAAGGGUAUAUUUGAUAUACAGGUUAUUGAUGUGUACCUUACUAGUGUUUAUAGUAGCCCUUGAGUAUUUCAUACUUGUUCGGUUGCUAUGAUUAGUAACUCGAAACAAGAGUUACAGAAUAAACAGAGACUAGUUGAGGGUGAAGUGACGAUGUGUGUUGGAAGUGGUUCCAAGAUUGAUAUGAUCAUCAUCGCACACUCCCUAUACUUUCGAGAUUAGUUUUGAACCUAAAUUAAUGUUAUUUGGCAUUUGCGUUGAGCGUGAAUAUGAUUUGAUCAUGUUUAUUGCAAUACGUUUAUUCUUUUAAAGUCAGAGAAUAAUUGUUAUUCUGUUUACAUGAAUAAAACCUUUGAUGUUCAUACACCCAAUGAAAAUUGUUUGUUGGAUCUCGAUCGUAGUGAUACACAUAUUCAUAAUAUUGAUGCCAAAAGAUGCAAAGUUGAUAAUGAUAGUGCAACUUAUUUGUGGCACUGUCGUUUGGGUCAUAUCAGUGUAAAGCGCAUGAAGAAACACCAUAAAGAUGGACUUUUGGAAUCACUUGGUUAUGAAUCAUUUGAUGCUUGUGAACCGUGCCUUAUGGGUAAGAUGACUAAAACUCCAUUCUCCGGAACAAUGGAACGAGCUGCUGACUUAUUGGAAAUAAUACAUACCGAUGUAUGCGGUCCAAUGAGUGUUGAUGCUCGUGGCGGGUAUCAUUAUUUUCUGACCUUCACGGAUGAUUUGAGAAGAUAUGAGUAUAUCUUCUUAAUGAAGCACAAGUUUGAAACAUUUGAAAAGUUCAAAGAAUUUCAGAGUGAAGUGGAGAAUCAUCAUAACAAGAAAAUAAAGUUUCUACGAUCUGAUCGUGGAGGAGAAUAUUUGAGUUACGAGUUUGGCCUUCAUAUAAACCAAUGUGGAAUAGUUUCACAGUUCACACCACUGGAACACCACAGUGUUAUGGUGUGUCCGAACGUCGUAACCGCACUUUAUUGGAUAUUGUGCGAUCUAUGAUGUAUCUUACCAAUUUACCACUAUCGUUUUGGGGUUAUACAUUAGAGAUAGUUGCAUUCACGUUUAAAUAGGGCACCAUCGAAAUCCAUUGAGAUGACGCCUUAUGAACUGUGGUUUGGCAAGAAACCAAAGUUGUCGUUUCUUAAAAGUUUGGGGCUACGAUGCUUAUAUGAAAAAGUUUCAACCUGAUAAGCUCGAACCCAAAUCGGAGAAGUGUGUCUUCAUAGGAUACCCAAAAGGAAACUAUUGGGUACACCUUCUAUCACAGAUCCGAAGGCAAGAUAUCCAUUGCUAAGAAUGGAUCCUUUCUAGAGAAGGAGUUUCUCUCGAAAGAAGUGAGUGGGAGGAUAGUAGAACUUGAUGAGGUAAUUGUACCUUCUCCUGAAUUGGGAAGUAGUUCAUCACAGAAAUCAGUUCCAGUGAUUCCUACACCAAUUAGUGAGGAAGCUAAUGAUGAUGAUCAUGAAACUUCAGAUCAAAUUACUACCGAACCUCGUAGGUCUUCCAGAGUAUGGUCCGCACCAAAGUGGUACGGUAAUCCUAUUCUGGAAAUCAUGUUACUAGACCAUGAUGAACCUACGAGCUAUGAGGAAGCGAUGAUGAGCCCAGAUUCCGUGAAAUGGCUUGAAGCCAUGAAAUCUGAGAUAGGAUCCAUGUAUGAGAACAAAUGUGGACUUUGAUUGACUUGCCCGAUGAUCGGUAAGCCAUCGAGAAUAAAUGGAUCUUCAAGAGGAAGAAGAACACUGAUAGUAGUGUUACUAUCUACAAAGCUCAACUUGUUGCGAAAGGUUUUCGACAAGUUCAAGGUGUUGAAUACGAUGAGAUUUUCUCACUCGUAGCGAUGCUUAAGUCUGUCCGAAUCAUGUUAGCAAUUGCCACAUUUUAUGAAAUCUGGCAAAUGGAUGUCAAAACUGCAUUCCUUAAUGGAUUUAUUAAAGAAGAGUUGUAUAUGAUGCAACCAAAAGGUUUUGUCGAUCCGAAAGGUGCUAACAAAGUGUGCAAGAUCCAGCGAUCCAUUUAUGGAGCAAGCCUCUCGGAGUUGGAAUAAACGCUUUGAUAGUGUGAUCAAAGCAUAUGGUUUUAUACAGACUUUUGGAGAAGCCUAUAUUUACAAGAAAGUGAGUGGGAGCUCUCUAGCAUUUCUGAUAUUAUAUGUCGAUGACAUAUUGUUGAUUGGAAAUGAUAUAGAACUUCUGGAUAGCAUAAAAGGAUACUUGAAUAAAAGUUUUUCAAUGAAAGACCUCGGUGAAGCUGCAUACAUAUUGAGCAUCAAGAUCUAUAUAGAUAGAUCAAGACGCUUGAUAAGUUUUUUCAAUGAGUACAUACCUUGACAAGAUUUUGAAGUAGUUCAAAAUAGAACAGUCAAAGAAAGAGUCCUUGCCUGUGUUACAAGGUGUGAAAUUGAGUAAGACUCGAAGCCCGACCACGGCAGAAGAUAGAAAUGAAAGUCAUUCCCUAUGCCUCAUUCAUAGGUUCUAUAAAGUAUGAUAUGCUGUGUACCAGACCUAUUGUAUACCUUGCUAUGAGUUUGGCAAGGGAGUACAAUUUUGAUCUAGGAGUAGAUCACUGGACAACGGUCAAGAAUAUCCUUAGUAAGGACUAAGGAAAUGUUUCUCGAUUAUGGAGGUGAUAAAAGAAUUCGUCGUAAAGAGUUACAUCGGUGCAAGCUUUUACACCGAUCCAGAUGACUCUAAAGUCUCAAUCUGGAUACAUAUUGAAAGUGGGAGCAAUUAGCUAGAGUAGCUCCGUGCAGAGCAUUGUAGGCAUAGAAUAUUUGCAAAAUACAUACGGCUCUGAAUGUGAUAGAUCCGUUGACUAAACUUCUCUCACGAGAAAAACAUGAUCAUACCUUAGUACUCUUUGGGUGUUAAUCACAUAGUGAUGUGAACUAGAUUAUUGACUCUAGUAAACCCUUCGGGUCUUAAUCACAUACAGAUGUGAAUAUUGGUGUUAAAUCACAUGAUGAUGUGAACUAGAUUAUUGACUCUAGUGCAAGUGGAAGACUGAAGGAAAUAUACCCUAGAGGCAAUAAUAAAGUUAUUAUUUAUUUCCUUAUAUCAUGAUAAAUGUUUAUUAUUCAUGCUAGAAUUGUGUUAACCGGAAACAUGAUACAUGUGUGAAUACAUAGACAAACUGAGUGCCACUAGUAUGCCUCUACUUGACUAGCUCGUUAAUCAAAGAUGGUUAUGUUUCCUAGCCAUGGACAAAGAGUUGUCAUUUGAUUAACGAGAUCACAUCAUUAGGAUAAUGAUGUGAUUGACUUGACCCAUUCCGUUAGCUUAGCACUUGAUCGUUUAGUAUGUUGCUAUUGCUUUCUUCAUGACUUAUACAUGUUCCUGUGACUAUGAGAUUAUGCAACUCACGUUUACCGGAGGAACACUUUGUGUGCUACCAAACAUCACAACGUAACUGGAUGAUUAUAAAGGUGCUCUACAUGUGUAUCCGAAGGUACUUGUUGGGUUGGCGUAUUUCGAGAUUAGGAUUUAUCACCCCGAUUGUCAAUGAGGUAUCUCUGGGCGCUCUCGGUAAUGCACAUCACUAUAAGCCUUGCAAGCAAUGUGACUAAUGAGUUAGUUGCGGGAUGAUGCAUUACAUAACGAGUAAAGAGAUUUGCCGGUAACAAGAUUGAACUAGGAAAUUGAGAUACCGACGAUUGAAUCUCGGGCAAGUAACAUACCGAUGACAAAGGGAACAACGUAUGUUGUUAUGCGGUUUGACUGAUAAAAAUCUUCGUUAAAUAUGUAGGAGCCAAUAUGAGCAUCCAGGUUCCAUUAUUGGUUAUCGACCGGAGAUGAGUCUCGGUCAUGUCUACAUAGUUCUCGAACCCGUAGGGUCCGCACGCUUAACGUUCUAUUGCGAUUUAUAUUAUGAGUUAUGUGUUUUGAUGUACCGAAGGCAGUUAGGAGUCCCGGAUGAGAUCGGGGACAUGACGAGGAGUCUCCAAAUGGUUGAGACGUAAAGAUCGAUAUAUUGGAUGACUAUAUUCGGACAUCGGAAAGGUUCCAAGUGAUUUGGGUAUUUAUCGGAGUACCGGAGAGUUACGGGAAUUCGCCGGGGAGAAGUAUUGGGCCUUAUUGGGCCAUAUGGGAAAGAGAGAGGGGCUGCCUAGGUCAGCCCCCCCCCCCCAAGGCCUAGUCCGAAUUGGACUAGGGGGAGGGUGUAAGGGCAUAUUUAUUCCCAAUAUGUUUUGGUGAUUGAUGACAAUACUUGUGCGGACUAAUCGUGUGCGUUUAGUUCUUUCAGAGAUGCAUCCAUUGGCACGAGACGAUUUCCUCCCCUCGGUGUUGUAAUUCAAGACGGUGUAGCUCCUUCGUUUCGUUGUUGGUGGACUAGUUUCGUAGAAGUCACCGUACUACCAAGAGGGGAUCCGUUUUGGUAAGACUUGGGUGGAAUCACACGUACACAUCCUUAUCACACCCGUCGUCUUUCCUUUCGCAUCUCUGGAGCUGCCGUUUUCCCCUUACUAUGCUCUGCUCUGCCCUAGCGGUAGUACCGCGUCCACAGAGGUAGUACCGCCGAAACUCCACAGCGGUAGUACCGCUCUUAGAGCGGUAGUACCGCUUGGGUUUUUCGGCCGUAGUACCGUUGUGCGUCUGGGCUACUUCCGCCUCGAUUCUCGAACGAAUUUUUCGUGUCGGGUUUUGCGGCACUAAGGGAGGUAGUAGGGGCGGUAGUACCGCUCUAAGCGGUAGUACCGCCCUUCCCUAGCGGUAGUACCGCCCUGGUGUCAGGGCCCUGGGCAGCGCGGCAGUACCGCUGGGUCGAAGCGGUAGUACCGCCCGGAGCGGUAGUACCGCUUUUCCCUGGAGGUAGUACUGUCCUGGGGUCAGGGCCCUAGGCAGCGCGGCAGUACCGCUGGGUCGAGCGGUAGUACCACCCGGAGCGGUAGUACCGCCCUUCCCUAGCGGUAGUACCGCUCUGUGCGGGGCUGGUGAGUGGGAUAACGGUUGGAUUGUUCUUCCCACUAUAUAUAGGAGUCUUCUUCCCCAAAGUUAACCUACCACUUUCCCCCAAAGCUCCAUUGUUGCUCCAAGCUCCAUUUUCACCCGAUCUCUCUCCCUAGCCAAUCAAACUUGUUGAUUUGCUCGGGAUUGGUUGAGAAGGCCCAGAUCUACACUUCCACCAAGAGAAAUUUGAUUCCCCCCACUUAUCCCUAGCGGAUCUUGUUACUCUUGGGUGUUGAGCACCCUAGACGGUUGAGGUCACCUUGAAGCCAUACUCCAUUGUGGUGAAGCUUCUGGUGUUGUUGGGAGCCUCCAAGUGUUGUGGAGAUUGCCCCAAUCUUGUUUGUAAAGGUCCGGUUGCCGCCUUCAAGGGCUCCAAUAGUGGAAUCACGGCAUCUCGCAUUGUGUGAGGGCGUGAGGAGAUUACGGUGGCCCUAGUUGCUUCUUGGGGAGCAUUGUGCCUCCACACCGCUCUAACGAAUAUGUACUUCCCCUUAAAAGGAAGGAACUUCGGUAACACAUCCUCGUCUCCACCGGCUCCACUCUUGGUUAUCUUGUCCCUUUACUUUUGCAAGCUUACUUGAGUUAUAUCCAUUGCUUGCUUGUGUGCUUAUUGUCUUUGCAUCAUAUAGGUUGUCCAUGUAGUUGCACAUCUAGACAACCUAUUUCAUUGCAAGUUUUAAUUUGUUAAAGAAAAGUCUAAAAAUUGUUAGUUGCCUAUUCACCCCCCCCCCUCUAGUCAACCAUAUCGAUCCUUUCAAUUGGUAUCAGAGCCUCGUCUCUUUAUUAAGGACUUUGCCGUCCGAAGAGUAUGGUUGACGUCAACGACGGUGCGGAGGAACACUCCAGUGUGAAUCCCAUCUCGUCUUCGGCCGAAGGGGGAACGUCGGUCUCACGUGAGGAAUUCAAUGUGGCUUUAGACACAUUGAAAACCUCCAUGAUGGCCGAGGUUAAAAGCAUGUUUACUGAAUUUCUAGAGGGACUUAAACUAUCUACCUCACCAAUGAAAGUGGGUGAUCCCACUAACAAGGUGACGGAUGCUAACUCUGAUAAGGGGGAAGCUAACAAUGAAAAGAGUCCAUCUACUAGUGGUAGAAAUGGCACCAGCAUCUUUGCCCAUGUGGAACCUCCGGUGUAUAGAGGACCGAUCCCCUCUACUCAUUUGAAUCAUGCCGGUCCUCCUCCUAAAUAUGUGAAAAAUGAAGAUUUUGAUGCUUGGCUCUAUCGCUUCAAGCGUCACUUAAAACAUGUGAACACUAACCUUUGGAGAAUUAUUGAAGAAGGUUUCUAUCCUCAUGAUCCAAGCAACUUCACCCCUCGAGAAGAAGUGGACAAUCAAUUCAAUGAAAGUGCUCUCUUCAUCAUCCAAGAUGCAAUCCUCCCCGAAGAUAUCCCUCAUCUUCGACCUCAUGCCAUGGCUAAAGAAGCAUGGAAAUGUGUCGAGCGUCUCUAUCGAGGAAGUGCUAGCAUUCAACGCUCCAACUAUGAAGUGGUGCAAGAUGAAGCUGAUGAGUUUGCAAUAAAGAAGGAUGAAGAACCUCGUGAGCUCUUUCGAAGAGUGACCAAACUCACGGUCGCACUUCGAGAUCAUGGAAGCAAGGACACGGAUGACAACUGGAUCAAGCGCAAGUUCCUCAAGGCCAUGAUGCCCUACAACAAGGCCAUGUCCUCCGUCAUUCGCCAAAGACCGGACUUCCACUCCAUGACCUCUAGUGAAGUGUUGGAUGAGUUUGUUGCAAUGAGCAUCUUGGACAAGACCGCCAACAAUGCGGUGCUCCGUUCCCAAAGGGCAAAGAAGCCCAAUCUUGCCUUGAAGGCCAAGGCUAGUGUGGAAGAAGAAGAAGAAGAGGAAGAUGAGGAGAGCAACCCCGAGGACAUGAAGUAUAAUUAUCAUGAGCACAUGGCUCUUGCCUCAAGACAGUUUUGGAGUAAGAAGAAUACAAGACCCAACUUCAACAAGAACAACUCAAGUGGCCUCAAAGGGAAGCAACGAGUUAGAACCUGUUUCAACUGUGGCAAUGUUAGCCAUUUCGUUGCGGAUUGUCCCUACGAGAAGCGGGAAGACAAUGGUGGCAAGUUCAUCCGAAAAGACAAAGCCAAGUCCUUCCCAAACAAGAACAACUUCAACAAGAAGACUCCGUCUCGCGGGUUGGUGGUUCAAGAAGAAUACCGUGAGGAUGACGAUGAUGAUGAAGAUGGUGAAACAAUGGCCAUGGCAUCCGUUGCCAUUGUCACAACUCCCCGGGUGUCUCUCUUCGAUGCACCUAACGAGAACAUCACCGCCAAGUGCCUCAUGGCUAAGGCCACCAACAAGGUAACCUCCAACAUCAAAACCACCAUUAUUCCUAACCCUCCUUCAACGGAUGAUUUUGAUAAUGGUAAGGGGUCUAAUGAGGAGAUCAAUGAAUUUGAGUCCUUCAUGAGUAAGCUCAAGGGCAAAUCCAAGAAGCACUUCGUUGCUCUCUUGGAACAACUUGGUGAAGCCAAUGACAUGAUCGAGGCUCACGAAGAAACCAUCUCUAAGAUGGAAAGUCAUACUCAUGACUAUGCCGAUGAGAUAUCGGAUCUCUCUAAUGCUCUUGAGGAAGAGUGUGAGCAUCGUUUGGCUCUUGAGGAGUCACACAACGAUGGUCAUGCUAAACUAAAGAAAGAUCUUGAUCAUGCUCUUGUUGUGUCUCGUGUUCUAGCUUCCGAGAAGGCUAAGCUUGGGGUUGAUCAUGUUAGACUCACGGAGGAGUUUGAUGUACUUGACAUGGCCCACAAGGUCUUGAAAGGUGCUCAUGCUACCCUCAAGGAGUCUCAUGCUCAACUCCAAGUUAAGCUAACCAAGGAAAAGGCCACAUUUCCUCACAUGGUCUUAAUUGAUAAUGCAAAUGCUACUAACCCUUGUUGUGAGCAUGUGCAUCUUGUGGAGGAGAAUGCCAAGUUGAAGGAACAACUCGAGAAAGGUCUUGUGUCAUGCAUACAAGGCGAGAAGAACCUAAAUGACCUUUUGAGCAAUCAAAAGGAAGUUGUGGGCAAGGAGGGAGUUGGGUUCUCACCCAAAUCCAAGAACAAGAAGAAGAACAAGGAGAAGAAGAGCAAGACCGAUCGACCUCCUUCGCUCAUGCAAACCUUUGUGAGGGAGGGAGAAGGUGCUCCUAAGGAUAAGAAGAACAAUGGGAAGAGUGGUGAUGCCAAAGAGCGCAAAGCCAUCUCUCCCAACAAAGUCGGCGACUUUAACCCGUCUUAUGUGUUGUGCCGUGCUAGUGAUGGGCAUGUUUAUGCUAAAUUUGUUGGUUCUUCUUAUGAGUACAUUGAAUGGUCUAUUUGGGUUCCUAAGACCCUUGUUACUAACAUCAAAGGACCCAUUACUCAAGGGUACCUAAAACCAAGCAUUGAUCUCUUGUAGGUGUUUGCUUCCGGUGGGGGGUCAUGGUUGCUCGAUAGUGGAGCAACAAAUCAUAUGACCGGGAGCAAGGACUUGGUGGUGGACGUGCACAAGAUCCCAUCUAUGCCCACCAAUGUCGAAUGGGGUGAUGCCUCACAUUCUAAGGUAUUGGGUCUUGGCAAGGUUUUCAUUUCUCACGAUCUAACGAUCGAGAAAGUCAUGCUUGUUGAGUCCCUUGCGUUCAAUUUACUUUCCGUUUGUCAACUCGCACUCAUGGGUUUUGCCACCUUCUUUGAUAUUGAUACCGUGGCCCUCUUGUGGAGCAAGACUCUUAAAGUAGCCUUUGUUGGGCAUGUCGAGAACGGUCUCUAUGUGGUUAACUUCUCGGAGCAACCCACUAAGACCAUGACAUGCCUAAUGGCUAAAGUUGAUGUGGGAUGGCUUUGGCAUCGCCGUUUAGCCCACGUCAAUAUGAGAUCUUUGCAAAGUCUUCUCAAGGGGGACCAUGUUCAUGGACUAACGAAUGUUAGUUUUGCCAAACAUCGUGUUUGCAGUGCUUGUAUCGAAGGAAAGCUUCAUGAGACGGCUCACCCUCCCACGACUAUCAUCUACUCGAAGAGACCCUUGGAGCUCCUCCACAUGGACCUCUUUGGGCCCCCAUCCUUUGACAGUCUUGGGGGUAGAAAGUAUUGCUUGGUGAUAGUAGAUGAUUAUUCAAGAUACACUUGGGUAUACUUCUUCAAGAGGAAGAGUGAGACUCAACAAACCAUCAUCGACUUUGCAAAUGAAGCUCAACGUCAACACAAUGCAAAGAUCUUGACAAUAAGAAGUGAAAACGGCACCGAGUUCAAGAACUACACCUUGGAUGAGUUUCUUAGUGAUGAAGGGAUUAAGCAUCAAUAUUCUGCACCAUAUACCCCUCAACAAAAUGGUGUUGCGGAGAGGAAGAACCGGACGUUGAUGGAUGCGGCAAGAACCAUGAUGGCGGAGUUCAAGUCUCCAUACAACUUUUGGGCCGAGGCCAUCAACACAGCUUGUCAUGCAUCCAAUCGGCUCUAUCUCCACAAAGGCUUGAACAAAACUCCGUAUGAGAUACUCACCGGGAACAAGCCCAAUCUCAAGUACUUCCGGGUGUUCGGGUGUAAGUGUUUCAUUCUCAAGAAAGGUGUUCGUUUGUCUAAAUUCGAGGCUAGAGCUCAUGAGGGCAUAUUUGUUGGUUAUGCUACAAACUCUCAUGCUUACCGUGUUUUCAACAAGUCCAAUGGGCUCAUUGAGGAGACGUGUAACAUAGAGUUUGAUGAAAAUAACGGCUCCCAAGUGGAGCAAAGUGGUACUUGUGAUGUAGGUGAUGAAAUUCCUCCUCAAGCCAUAAGAAGAAUGGGUAUUGGUCAUAUCCUACCCAUUGAGGAACCCCUUGUGGCCGAAGGAGAAGGACAAUGCUCCACCUCAGUGGAGCCUUCACCUACUCAAGACCCACACGCUUCCAAAGAACAAAGUGAAGGCCCUCAACCUAAGGAACAAGACCAAGGGCAAGAUCAAUCACAAGAUGGUGAUGAACCUCCACAUGAUGCCCAAGGUCAAGUUCUUCCCCUCGAGCAAGUUCAAGAUCAUGAGCAAGCUCAAGAUCAAGAACAAGCUCAUGACGACGCUCAAGAUGAUCAAGUGAACCCUCCUCCUUCGACAUCCGAGGAGGAAUUGGAGCGUCGUGCCGCGAAGAUUGCUUCCAAACUCACCACCAAAGGUCAUCUCAUGGAGAAUGUGGUUGGAAGCCUAAGAAAGUGGGUAAGCACUCGUAGACAGUUAGCAAACUAUUGUGAACAUCAUGCGUUUGUCUCUUGUGUUGAACCCCAUAAGGUCUAUGAGGCGCUCAAAGACUCGGAUUGGCUCAAUGGCAUGCAUGAAGAACUCAACAACUUUGAGUACAACAAGGUGUGGAGAUUGGUGCCAAGGCCUUCCGGGAACCAUAACAUCAUUGGAACCAAGUGGAUCUUCAAGAACAAGCAAGAUGCUCAUGGAAACAUCAUUCGCAACAAGGCAAGAUUGGUAGCACAAGGCUACUCCCAAGUCGAGGGUAUCGACUAUGGUGAAACCUUUGCUCCCGUUGCUCGUCUUGAAUCCAUUCGUUUGUUGAUUGCUUAUGCUUCCCAUCACAACUUUAAGUUGCAACAAAUGGAUGUUAAAAGUGCUUUUCUUAAUGGUCCUAUUAAUGAGUUGGUCUAUGUCAAGCAACCCCCCGGGUUCAAGGAUCCCUUCUUCCCGGAUCAUGUGUAUCAACUCGAUAAGGCGCUCUAUGGCCUUAAACAAGCCCCACGUGCGUGGUAUGACCACCUUACCGAGUUGUUACAAGAUCGUGGAUUUGAAGUGGGGCUAAUCGAUCCCACUCUUUUUACUAAGAAGGUCAAAGGGGAGUUGUUUGUAUGCCAACUAUAUGUUGAUGACAUUAUCUUUGGUUCCCCUAACAAAGCUUUCAAUGAAGAAUUUGCCGCUCUCAUGACCUCUAAGUUCAAGAUGUCUUCGAUGGGAGAGUUGAAGUUCUUCCUUGGUUUUGAUAUCAAACAAAGAAGAGAAGGUACCUUCAUCAACCAAGCCAAAUACACUCAAGACAUGCUCAAGAGAUUCAAGUUAAGUGAUGUCAAGCCGGCUUCUACUCCAAUGCCCACCAAGUGCCAACUUGACAUUGAUCCCAAUGGUAAAGCGGUGGAUCAAAAGGUAUAUCGCUCCAUGAUUGGCUCCUUGCUUUACCUUUGUGCAUCUAGACCAGAUAUCAUGUUGAGUGUGGGGAUGUGUGCACGGUUUCAAGCUGCACCGAAGGAAAGUCACUAUGUGGCAGUCAAGCGAAUCUUUCGAUAUUUAGCUCAUACCCCGAACUUUGGCUUAUGGUACCCAAGAGGGGCAAACUUCAAGCUUGAAGGGUUUACGGAUUCUGAUUGGGCGGGAGACAAAGUGGAUAGGAAGUCCACUUCCGGAGGGUGCCAGUUUCUUGGGUGCUCUUUGGUGAGUUGGUCUUCCAAAAAGCAAAGUUGUGUGUCUCUCUCGUCCACCGAAGCAGAAUAUGUGGCGGCCGGUAGUUGUUGUGCACAACUCUUGUGGAUGAGGCAAACUUUAAAGGAAUACGGUGUCAUUUGUGACAAAGUGCCUCUUUGGUGUGACAACGAAAGUGCCAUCAAGAUUUCUCUCAACCCGGUGCAACACUUCAAGACGAAGCACAUUGAGAUUCGGUAUCACUUCAUCCGGGAUCACAUUAGGCGAGGAGAGAUCGAGCUCAAGUAUGUCAACACUCAUGAUAACCUUGCAGAUAUUUUCACGAAGCCCUUGGAUGAAGCAAGAUUUCACGAGUUAAGGCAUGAGCUAAAUAUCAUUGAUUCGAGCAAUGUGACUUGAACCCUUGCACACCCCACCCCACUCAACUUGGUAUCUAGCUUAGAUGUAGGCAUGGACAUAGGGGGAGUGUUGUUCUCUCAAUGAACUUUCCCUCCCCCCAUUAUGCAUAAAACGAUCAACUCUUUCACAAUAGCCAUUUUUUAUGGUACUUGUGCUUCAAAGACGAGUUUUGGUCAUGGGCCCAAGGAUAAUUCUUCGCGGUGCCAUACCAAUUGACUCAAACAUAGGUGGAUCCGGCCACCGCCCUCUCCUGAGAGAGGCCAGAGCUUGCUCUGUUUCGUGUGGUUGUUUGUGUUUGAGUUGUUUCUGGUCUGUUGUGUGUGUGUGUGUUGCCGCGUCGGUCCUCUCGUUCUUUUGGCUUUGCUUUCCGUUUCUCUUUGAGCGCUAACCGUUGGUCUAGAUGCAGUGUGGUUGCUGAAGAGGUACUACCGCUGGUGGCGAGCGGUACUACCGCUCUUAGCGGUACUACUGCCCUCCAGAGCGGUACUACCGCUCCCAGCGGUACUACCGCCCUCCAGAGCGGUACUACCGCUGUGAGGCGCGGGCUGGGGGUUAUAUCGGGGGCAGGGGGAGUUUCUUCUCCCCCAUACCCAUUCGCUCACCCCCUUCGCGUUGUUCAUCUCUCUCUUUAGCAACCGGCGCUGCGGGAGGGCUUUGGUGGAUCUCCCUCUCCGGGGCACUCCUCUCCGUUUCCUUUGGUGGAAUCGAUCCCCACCUUGUCCUCUUGCCAUGGAUGCCGGUAGUGCCCCCGUUCCCUGUUUCCUUUGGUCUAGAUUUCCAAUCUAGCGUUCUAGGGGCAAUAGCAGUUGCAUCUCUAGAUUUUUGUCCAGAUCUAGGCUUGAGUAGGAUGGAGAAUGCUUCUAGACUGUUUGGAUUAGUGUUUGAUUGGAGUAUUUUUGAAUUUGGUAGGACGGUAGUACCGGAUCUGACCACGGUAGUAGGAAACUGCUGUUUCCCUGCCUUGAGCGGUACUACCGCUCUCCUAGAGCGGUACUACCGCUGAGAGCGGUACUACCACUCUCUCCAGAGCGGUACUACCGCUCAAGGGUCACGGUACUACCGCCUUCUACCUAGUUCCAUCAUCCUCCUACCUCUCAGUGAUCUUUUUUGUUCGUGCUUGUGGCUUACGCUCGUUCUUUCUGGUUGUUUGCGUGUUUGUGUGUGUGGUUCCAGGUGAUGCGGUUCCUGAGCAUCAGGCUCGUCGUGUCAACCCCGGUCGUGCCUCGUCCAAGCGCUACCGCACCACUAAGCCCACUGAGCCUGUCGGAGGAUCUUCUAGUGCUCCACCUCCUCCCCAACUGCAGAAGAAGCCUGGGGUCAAGCCAAAGCCAAGCAAAACCAUGCCAGAAAUGCUGCCCAAGGAGUUCUGGGCAAGGCGCCGCCGCAACCCGUAUGAGGUCGACCAAGAUCCCACUUUGGUCAACCGUCCGUUCUGGAACAGGUUCCAGUUUGCCAUCUAUUUUGAUGUUCUCAAAGCCAAGAAGAAUCUCUAUGUCAAUGUGCACUCCAUCGACACCGAGCAUAUGGAGAAUGAUCCUGACUACUUUGGUGAAGCUCUUCAGAUGUGCACUCAGCUGAACAUUCUCGGGAUCAUGCAAUUCAACAAGGACUAUGAUGCUGAUAUUGUGGCCCAAUUCUAUGCCACGGUUCACCUUGGGACCGAUGAGGACAGGACUCUGACUUGGAUGGCAAUUGGCAAGUUGUUGUCAGUCAAGUGGAAAGCUUUCAUGCAGUUGAUUGGGGUGGAAGAUCUUGGACUUGAGUCUUCUGUCGGCUUUCGCCCCCACCGUCGCACCAAUGCCACUCACAAGCAAGCUCUGUGGCCCUACUGCACUCUAAGGAUCAACCAUGAGACGAAGAAGGAGACCUAUGAGCUGCCUGCCUAUCUGGACAUUCUUCACCGUAUCUUCAGAGAGACUCUUUUCCCUCGCAUCAGGAAUCUAGACCAAGUUCACUCUUAUCUCGUGGACAUGCUUCUCUUCUAUCAGCGGGAGAAGGGGCAGAGCACCGGAGAGUCCUUGGAUAUCUCUCAUGUUAUGUGGUCUAAGCUGGUUUCUGCUAUCUCCGAGCGCAAGUGCCUGAUUUAUGGUCCAUUCAUUAUGCUGCUCAUUGAGAAGGCAUGGGAUCGUGUCUAUCCCAAGGUGGUGCUGGAGAUUGGAGAGUUGGUUUCUCACGAUGUCAAGCGUCUGAGGAAGAAGGAUAACUGGGGCACUCAGGCCCCUAGGACUAGAGUUCCUUCAUCUGCUGUUGCCAUGGAGACUGAGGAGGAGUUUGGGGCUGAGGCUGAGGAUGAAGAUGAUGACUACGUGCCUUCUGAGGCAGAGCCCUCUUGGGCCAAGAAGCUCAAGAUCAAGGUGAAGAAGUUGUUUUGCAUGGAGUCUCACGGUCAGUACAUGACUCAUGUGGCUGAGAAGAAGGCCCGAGGUCGCCACAAGGAGCUCAUGCGUCAGAUGAGUGCUAUUGUGAUUAGUGGUUCUGAGGAUCAGCUUACCGAGGAGGAGGAGUGGAUUCAGCAGCACUGUCCCUAGACUGAUUCUGAUGCUGAGCACUUCCCGGCUGACGAUGGUAACGCAGAUGAUCCCUCUGAGAUCUGAUGGGUGUCCAUCGUUUGCCUUCACCUGGAGCCGUAGCAACACUCCCUCUCCUUUUUGGUGUCUCGAUGCCAAAGGGGGAGAGAGUUUAGGGAUUUGCGUUUUGUGUCUUCCGUCUUUUGUGUUUGUGCUUUUGUUUGUUGCUUUAUUUGGUUUGUGUCAGUGAGACCUAAGUUCUGGCUCUGUCAGUAAGACCUAAGCUCGAGUCAUAUGGUGUGAGACAUAUGCUACCUUAUCUUUCCAUUUCAUUUUCUAUGUCUAUCUAGCUUAUGAGUUCCAUACUUAUCCUGUUAUAUUUAUGUUGCUCUCAUAUCUUGCUUAGGUAGUUGGUCUCUAAAAUGAAGGGGGGGCAUUGCUCCUGGCAUCUGUGCCGUGCAGUCCAAAGCACUUUUCUAGGUAGCACACAUCCAGGGGAGGCCCUUCGACAUUAUAGGACGGUUGUGCUUUUGCGCUUAUCCUAUAUCUAUCAUAUUGUGCAAAUCCCGUAUUGUCAUCAAUCCACCAAAAAGGGGGAGAUUGUAAGGGCAUAUUUAUUCCCAAUAUGUUUUGGUGAUUGAUGACAAUGCUUGUGCGGACUAAUCGUGUGCGUUUAGUUCUUUUAGAGAUUCAUCCAUUGGCACGAGACGAUUUCCUCCCCUCGGUGUUGUAAUUCAAGACGGUGUAGCUCCUUUGUUUCGUUGUUGGUGGACUAGUUUUGUAGGAGUCACUGUACUAUCAAGAGGGGAUCUGUUUUGGUAAGACUUGGGUGGAAUCACACGUACACAUCCUUAUCACACCCGUCGUCUUUCCUUUCGCAUCUCUGGAGCUGCCGUUUUCCCCUUACUAUGCUCUGCUCUGCCCUAGCGGUAGUACCGCGUCCACAGCGGUAGUACCGCCAAAACUCCACAGUGGUAGUACCGCUCUCAGAGCGGUAGUACCGCUCCGAGCGGUAGUACCGCUCUUAGAGCGGUAGUACCGCUUGGGUUUUUCGGCCGUAGUACCGUUGUGCGUCUGGGUUACUUCCGCCUCGAUUUUCGAACGAAUUUUUCGUGUCGGGUUUUGCAGCACUAAGGGAGGUAGUAGGGGCGGUAGUACCGCUCUAAGCGGUAGUACCGCCCUUCCCUAGCGGUAGUACCGCCCUGGUGUCAGGGCCCUGGGCAGCGCGGCAGUACCGCUGGGUCAAAGCAGUAGUACCGCCCGGAGCGGUAGUACCGCUCUUCCCUGGCAGUAGUAUCGCCCUGGGGUCAGGGCCCCAGGCAGCGCGGCAGUACCGCUGGGUCGAGCGAUAGUACCGCCCGGAGUUGUAGUACCGCCCUUCCCUAGCGGUAGUACUGCUCUGUGCGGGGCUGGUGAGUGGGAUAACGGUUGGAUUAUUCUUCCCACUAUAUAAAGGGGUCUUCUUCCCCAAAGUUGACCUACCUCUUUCCCCCAAAGCUCCAUUGUUGCUCCAAGCUCCAUUUUCGCCCGAUCUCUCUCCCUAGUCAAUCAAACUUGUUGAUUUGCUCGGCAUUGGUUGAGAAGGCCCAGAUCUACACUUCCACCAAGAGAAAUUUGAUUCCCCCCACUUAUCCCUAGCGGAUCUUGUUACUCUUGAGUGUUGAGCACCCUAGACGGUUGUGGUCACCUCGAAGCCAUACUCCAUUGUGGUGAAGCUUCGUGGUGUUGUUGGGAGCCUCCAAGUGUUGUGGAGAUUGCCCCAAUCUUGUUUGUAAAGGUCCGGUUGCCGCCUUCAAGGGCUCCAAUAGUGGAAUCACGGCAUCUCGCAUUGUGUGAGGGCGUGAGGAGAUUACGGUGGCCCUAGUGGCUUCUUGGGGAGCAUUGUGCCUCCACACCGCUCUAACGGAGACGUACUUCCCCUUAAAAGGAAGGAACUUCGGUAACACAUCCUCGUCUCCACCGGCUCCACUCUUGGUUAUCUUGUCCCUUUACUUUUGCAAGCUUACUUGAGUUAUAUCCAUUGCUUGCUUGUGUGCUUAUUGUCUUUGCAUCAUAUAGGUUGUCCACGUAGUUGCACAUCUAGACAACCUAUUUCAUUGCAAGUUUUAAUUUGUUAAAGAAAAGUCUAAAAAUUGUUAGUUGCCUAUUCACCCCCCCCCCCUCUAGUCAACCAUAUCGAUCCUUUCAGAGGGGCUGCGGCCCCUCCUUCCUUCCCUUCUUUCUUCCCUUUCCUUGACUCCUACUCCUACUACAUGGAAGGGGGGAAUCCUACUCCCGGUGGGAGUAGGACUCCCCAGGGCGCAUCAUAGAGAGGGCCGGCCCCUCCCCUCCUCUCCUCCUUUAUAUACUGAGGCAAGGGGCACCCUAUAGACAUAACAAUUGAUCCUUGAGAUCUAUUAGCCGUGUGCGGUGCCCCCCUCCACCAUAUUCCACCUUGAUAAUAUCGUAGCGUUGCUUAGGCGAAGCCCUGCGUCGGUAGAACAUCAUCAUCGUCACCACGCCGUCGUGAUGACGGAACUCUCCCUCGAAGCUCGGCUGGAUCGGAUUUCGAGGGACGUCAUUGAGCUGAACGUGUGUUGAACUCGGAGAUGUCGUGCGUUCGGUACUUGAUCGGUCGGAUCGUGAAGACAUACGACUACAUCAACCGCGUUGUGCUAACGCUUCCGUUUACGGUCUAUGAGGGUACAUGGACAUACUCUCCCCUCUCAUUGCUAUGCAUCACCAUGAUCUUGCGUGUAUGUAGGAAAUUUUUUGAUAUUACUAUGUUCCCCAACACUUCCAACCAAGUAUCAAGAUUCUACUCCCGGGUGAACUUACUGAUGCCAGUCGCCAAUCUAAAGUUGUGAGGGAUCUCAGCGGCUCAGAUGGCUCUUCCGAAACACUCAGGGCCGGAAACGUGCACCCUGCUUCCACCGGGUCUAUCUCUAUCCAACCCUUCUCUGUAUGCUCUGUUUCAGUCGACCAAACCUUGUAUAAGGACUGACCUUGCGUCGAACCCAGGCUCUUUUGGGUUGACUGGAACUCUGCGGUCAUUACCAUACGGGCGCCUGUCAUCAUACCGCCGGGGCGCGUAUGACCCAUCCCUCGGAGGGGGUGAAGGCACUCGACGGUGGUUGUCACGGGCACAGUCACGAUCAAACUCUCCAUGAGCUCUUCCCAGGUGUCGAUCUCGACGGCGAUCAUGAUCUUCACGUCGCAAAGGCGACCCAGGACUAUGUGUUGACUAAACUGUAUCUGCCCUUACUGACCUGCUGUGGAUCCUGUUUCGCGACUGGGAAGCGGCGGAGUUCAGCUCUCUUGCUGCCCGGAGCAGCGCUCGGAUCUGUUCCAAGCCUCUUGCAGCUUCUGAACAGGACAGCUGAAUAGACUCUGCUAUACGUGCAGCCGCUGUAAGAUUCUGGAUCGGAGUGAGGUGUACCUGAGGUUCAGGCAGAAACAAUUGCCGUUGACGUCGACUGGAUUCGGGGAUCAGUCGAUGGGCGCGUUCGUCGAGAGAAUGUUGGAGAUUCUCCAAAUGCGCGCGCUCAGCCAAUGUGGCGAGGCGCGCAACCUCCAAGGCCCGAGCCUCGGCGGUUUCCCCUAUGAUGGGUGUCUGGAGGGCCUCCACGUUGCAGCGGUGCAACUCUUCCCUCUGCUGCGAAUUGAGAGGUUGGGGCUCGUACUCCUCGUGGCCGAAUGACGGGCCGUCGCUGUCACCGUUGCCGCUGUUAUGCUGAAACCCGGGUGGGCUGCGAUGGGAGUCGACCAUGAGAACUUCUGCGGCGGGGUCACAGCUCCCGCGCUCGGAAAAAGUAUCCAUAGAGCCAGUCGACGGGUCGACUGGACCGUAGUGAGAUUCGUCGGGCUCGAUCAUCGCGACUUGUGGGGUGGCCAUUUGACGGGCCACCGCAUGCUUGACCCAAUGUUGGAGCCGCGACCGACCGAAUCGCUUGCGGAGGUGACCAGCGGAGUGAGCAGAAGAUGUGAGGGCCGACCAAUACGGAGUCAACGGCUGUCGUAGAAGAACGUCGCAGGCACUCACGUGGAAGUGCGACGCCCCACGGAUCGGAAGAGCCUCGACAUCGAUGGGGGCUUCUUGGAGCCAGGCGGAGUCGUCGGCGACGAAAGUGAGCGCGCUGGGUCGGAACUCGCAGCCCAUGACCAAACCGCCGCUGGAAACCAUGUUGAUGAAGAUCGAAAAAAUGCAACCUCACCGGAAGUUGCCAAGACGCUUUGCCCCAUGGUGGGCGCCAACUGUCGUCGUACUAAGUCUGACAGUAAGAGUAGGGGUGCGUAUGAGGAGGCAAGGCCCUAGCUACGGCGAGGUUGUACACACGAGUUUACAAGUUCAUGCCCCUCUCGGAGGAGGUAAAAGCCCUACGUCUCGGUGCCCUAAGGUGGUCGACUGGAAUAUGGGUGUGUGUUACAAGGGGUGCGAACCCUUGUCUGAGAGGAGGGGGUGGAUUAUAUAGAGUGCGCCAGGACCCCAGCCAUCCUCCGUUACAGGGUUCAAUGUACAUUAAGACAGGGCGUUCUGGUAACACCAGCUAUAAAGUGCUAUUAAUGAGACACCUGAGUGAACGUCUGACCGUUGCUAUCCUGAGCGACUCUAGGUCUUCUGUACUCCAGGUAGUUUCCUGUAUGGUCGAAUGACUUCAUCCAAGUUGAGUGAAAUUGGGGGUAUCCGAGUGAGGUGACUGGUCGAGUGGAUUGCACUCCAUGGAUACUUCAGUCGGUAUUUCUUGCUAUACUUUGAAUAUCCUUGAUUUUAGGGUAGUGACAUUGGGUAGGGCGUAUAGGUCAGGCCUAUGACCCUGCCCUAGGUUCAUGGCAUCAUCAGGAGGUUCACAUUGUUGAUGGAUGCGACAUGCAAGAAGCUCAAGCUCGAAAAAAGGACCAUGAUCGAAGAGAGCAAGGUCGUGCUCGAGGAAGAGGGUGACGAUCGCCGCCAAUGCGGAGGACGCCAAGAUGUUAGACCUUAAAUGUCGACUCUUUGGACGCCGAUUCAAGAAUGUUCGUGCAAUCUGUCCGCUACCAAAUGUUGCAGUGACAGAAAGAUAGAUUGGUGGCGGCGGACUAUGAAGACGCGGUGGAGGCGGACUAUGAAGAUCGCCGCUAUUGCCCAAAUUCUUACUUUAAAUUUCCUUGUGGACAAACAAGACGUUAAAAUUAACUAUGCUUUCAUGAAAUACGGCCAGUGUAAGAAUUAAUAAGAUUUCUAAUACGUGGUUAGUAGGGGGAAAAUCUUAAGUCGUUUGCUUGUGGUUUUGUAUGUAUGUAUCUUAUCAAAAUAUAUAAGACAAUUUUAUUGAUCAUAUACGCGAGCAUUCGCCAGAAAUUAUAUAAUUAGGUCCCACGACUACGCCGCGUGAAAAGAAUGCAGCUACUGUUCGAUAUAAUAGUAUAAGGUGGGCGGACCCGGCUGACCCAGCGAGUCACCCGACUUUGUUGACCCAAAUCUCGUUUAAUACCGACUCACAUGACCCAUUGGCCUUGAAAUUGUAAGCGACCCGACGGGCCAAACUGGGCCGUUCCUAUCCUGACACAAAACCCUAGGAUGUAUCAAUUGUACCUGUGAACCUUCAGUAAUAAAAAUUGUGGAUAAUGCACUAUAUUAUUUAUUCAAACAAAUCACUAGAUCAACUAAUAAACCUUCAAUAAGCCACAUAACGUAUGUAUGCAUCUAGCUACUUCAAGUGUAGAAAAAAAUGCUGAGAAUAUAUAUGCUACUAUGUUCAAAAAUAUAUGUUGUAUUGAUUUUUUUUAUUUUUGAGUAAGUCAAACUUCGCUAUGUUUGACGCAAAACAUCAAUUUCAAUAACUAUAAUACCGAAUCAAUAUCAUUAGAUUCAUCAAAAUAUACUUUCAUGCUUUAUAUAUUUUUCUAUAAAUUUUGACAAACAUAAAAAAAUGGCUUUUGAAAAAUUAAUACACCUUAUAUUUUUAAUACAUGAACUUUUUUAAUUCAUCACUUUUAUAAAUAUCACUAACAUUUAAUAAACAAUUUUUGAGCAUUUUUAGAAUUCAUGAAUAUUUAUUAAAUUCAUGAAUACUUUUCAUCCAUGAGAAUAAUUCUAAAAUAUGUAAUUUUUUAAGGUUUGUGUAUAUUCUUAGAGUCCUUUAAAAAUCAUGGAUAUUUUUGUAAAUUCACGAACAUUUUAAAAUGCCGUGAUCAAAUUGAAAGUUUAUGAAGAUUUUUUUAACUGACAGACAUUUUUUUAAACACACGCUUUUUCAACAUGAAUAUUUUCAAAAACAUGGGACGAAGAUUUUGAGAAAGCACGAAAAAAACUGAAAUAUUAUUUUGCAAAUAAUAUAUUUUAUUAAAUAUAAAUAAGUUUUACAAAUAAAAACUGACAAUAAAUGCAGAUAUACAACCAAAAAUCUGGAGCAGAAAACCUGAAAUAUAGCCGGAACCAAAGGCACGGCAGAUGUACUAGAUGGGCCCGCCCAUUGAUUAGCAGCACUCGAGUUUCAGCGCGGGAGAUUAAAAAAAACUCUCUUUUGCCUAAAAUAAAAAAUCUCCUAAGGCCUCGUUUGGCACAAAGGGAUUUGGGAGGAAUUCGGAGGCGAGGAUUUGGGAGGAUUUGGUGAAUCCCUCCCUUCCACCCAAUCCCCUGAAAACCCCUUGAAUCCCCAAAACCCCUCCAUCCCCAAUCCUUAAUUUCUGUUUGGUAGGCAAGGUUUGUCAAAUUGACAUAACAUACAAUGUAACUAACUCCCUUAUAUCCUUGCUACAGAAUUGUAAAGGCCACCUAAUAAAAAUGAGAAAAGCUGCUACAGGGGAAUAAUUUAGCAGCAGUUUUUCCCAGCAGCAACAUAAUUUUGCAUGACUCGAAAUCAAUAUAUCAUCACAACAACAUCAUAAUUUAUCAUAAUAACAUGGCUUCGAAUCCCAAAUCCCAGGAAUCAUAAUUUAUCAUGACAACAUGAUCUUUCGCAGCAACAACAGUUCAUCACAGCCCCAACAUAAUUUUGCAGCAAAGAUAACGCAACACAAGUACUUCUGGAAUAGCUCAAGAUCAGUUAUAAUUUCGCAUACAGAUAUAUCCAUCUUUUGGUGUCAUGAUCAUCUAUCUUUGAGAAUCUGAGAGAAAGUUGUCCCUCCAGCUUGUUUAUUGUUGCUUCUUUUGGUGCUUGAGAACCUGAUGAAACAAAUAGAGAUGAAUAUUAGAGUGCCUUCAGAAUAACUUAUAACUAUAAGUUUUGCUAGAUGAACAUUAGAGUGCCUUCUGGAACAUAAGUAGGCCUGUAGUACAGCAAGUUUCAGGAACAGAACAAGCAAGGAGUAUUGUACUUGUAGUAGGAGCAUUGUACUACUAGCAAGAAACAAGCUGCAUAUAUUAAAGCAAAGUUUCCAGCAAGCAACAUUAAUUUAAUUUUUUCUUCAUUUUCUUUUUGUAGGUGCGCAGCAAGCAAACAGGAGUACUCCAAACAAUACAGAUGGUACUACUGAUACAAGCAAUACAGAUAACACUGCGCAACCAAAUACUUGCUACUGACAAUAUCUUGGUACUGCAAGAAGCUACAGCAACACUGAAUUUAUAUUGGAGCUACAGAAAAUCCUACUCCUGAUUUAAUGGCAUUUGUAAAUGGAGGGAGAACAAGUUAGCAAAGUCCAUUACAUAGAUUCAGUUCAAUGGAAAUGGACCAAGUUAGCUAGCUAGCUAGAUAAUAAAUCGAUGACAGAAAUAAGAACCAAUCUGAACCAAUCUCUCGAUGACAUAGAAUCAAUCAACAGAGUCAAAAAUAAGUAGUUACUAGUACUUAGUAUCAGUGCCACAUAUUGCAGGAAUGAACCUCGGCAAUUAAACUAGGAAUAAACUGAAUGAGUUCGCAAAACAUUCAGCUAAUCCAUAUGAACCAACCAAACUAGGAAUAAACUGAACUUGUGUACCACCACAGAUCUAGAUUCAGUUUAGUUCAGGUUUUCCAUGUCUCAAGGUCUAUAACAUUGAAGCUCACACUUUAGCUCAGCUGCAUCAAUCAGGAAAUUCUAGCCUUUGAUUCAGAUUAUCACAGAUGUACUACAACUACAGGGAACUGUUAAUGAAUGAAUGGCGCCUAUAAGUCUCCUCGCCAAACAGAACUGUUAUUUUUUAGAUGAACAAAUCUGUCAAGUGGGCUAGCAGAUUAUCGCAGACAAACAAAUGAGCACAAGUCAAGUGGGCUAUGCUUACCAUCAGGAUUAAACAAUUAACUAAUCAACUACGGACUCUUUUUUGUUACAAAAAUGAAACGGGGAAGGAUGAACUCUUGACAGAUGAACUCUGUCAAGCAGGAAUGAUUUGUUUGGUUCAUUGUUAUAAGGUAUGCAUGUUUUAACUGCAAUUAUACUUUGUUUCCAGUCUACUAAAUUAUUAACUCUGCGUUCAAUGUUAUUGCAAAUGCAGGUGGGGCAGUAUAAACUACCCAGGAAGCUGGACAUAUCUUGGAGAGAAACUAGCAGAUAUCAUAAUGUGAAGUCAAUACUUGUGCCAUUUGGUGGAGUGUCUGCUGACUGUCUUAACUUCUUUUAGAAAUACUUCAUGCUGACUAUUGGUGUAUAGGUUUGUUCUUAGAUCUAACUAAGCGUCUUUUUGAUAUUUGGGAACACAAGCAUGUCUAAGUUUUGGGGUAGAAAAUUUUGACAGCACAUACUGUAUGUAGAAGAUAGUCACAUGACAGAGUUAGCUGAUACAUCAUACACAGUGUGUAUCUUCCUCGAUGACAGAAUCUCACUGACUGUAAGGUUCAGUGCAAGUAUAAUGUUGCCUGUAUGUAUAGAAUAAUCCGUUGAGACCCGCAAAGAGAAAUAGCCAUUUGUACUAUGCGUAAUAGCCAUUUGUACUAAUCAACUACGGACUUCUCCAUGCUUAAGUCUUUGAUCUUCUAGCGAAACUCGCCUACUACUACGCACAUCAAGGUGACAGUUUCAUAACCACUAACAGCAGAAUAUUGCUUAAAAGGUAGAGGUAACUAAGCAUUGAGAAGGUUAGCAGGAGUGCAUCCUCGCCCAUCUGCACUGUCCGGCAGACACAUCCUAUGCUUUCUUGGCAAUCUUAGGGUUAGGGUAAAGAGGAGCUAGAGGAGGCGGGCAUUCUUGGCAAGCUAGCUGGGUAGGCCUAGGGUUAGGGUCGUUCUUGGCGUGCUCGCCGGUGAGGACGAGGCGGACGGAGGGCGUACGGGCGGUGGCAGCCAUGGAGAGGAGGGGGGAGGGGAGGGGAGGGGCUGCGAUGACUAACCACCAGUGAGAAGUCCAGUAUGCCGGAGGAGAUCACCGGCGUCGAGGCGUCGGGUGGCGCGGCGACUUGGGGAGGAGGCGGCGCAGCGGCGGCGGCGGCGUCUCGAGUCGAGCAGCCAAAUCCUCUAGGGGGCCUCGAUGAUUCUGAACCGCGUGGGAACGGGUGGGUCGAAAGGGAAUCGAGGGGAUUGGGCCGUCCAAACCACGCCUACCAAAUGGGCCAACGGGUAUUUGGGGGGAUUCUGGGUCUCGCGGGGUUUAUCCUCUGCAAACCCCUCCAAUCCACGCUAAACAAACGAGGCCUGGGAUGUGAAGAUCGGUGCUAAAGCAGGUGCCAGAG